GUUGGUUAAGUUACCUAUUUCCAUAGGAAUAAUGCCUUGAAGCUCACACUCUGUGGCAUGAAAGUAUUGAAGGGAUUUUGAAAGGUUCCCGAAAUAAGUAGGAAGAACGCCACUCAAUGGAUUUCCUGAAACAUCUAUUAUGCUCAAAUUCCUACAAUUCGUCAAAGAAGAAAGAAAGCUCCACUCAUGAUCAGUAGCAGAUCCUGUGAUCAAAUUAUUGUCAUAGAUUUGGAGCCAUACAAGUUGUCUUAAGCUGCCAAGCGUUUUAGGGAUUGGGCCAGAGAAUGAGUUAUCUCCCAAGUCUAGUUCCUUAAGCAUGGAAGCAUUGGAGAUAGAGUUGGGAAUGUUUCCGCUAAGUUUAUUUCCCCACAGUAAAAGAAUCUGAAGCUUUGGAGCAUUGGUAAUGGGUGGUAAAUUACCUGUAAAAUAGCAUCUUUUAGAAAACAUUCACAAAAUAUAUAAUACAUUAAAAUAAAAACUUUAAAUCAAUUAAGAAUAAAAUUUUGGCAUGGAAAAAUGUGAUGAAAUCAAUUAGAAAGUUGAGACAUAAUAAGAAGUUUUGAGUAGUAAUUAGUCCUUGUGAUUUGUAUAGACAAAACAUAUAAUACACUGAUAAUUUUUUUAAAAUAUUGUAAAACCUGAAAUAAAAUAAAAAAUAAAAGUUUGGCACGAGAAUGUGGCAUCUAAUCAUUCUUAAAAAUAAGACUAACAUUAAAUAAUAAUUAGUUAUGAUUUGAGAAACAAAAAUGUUAAAGAUGUAAACUGGUAUGAUUUUUAUCUAUUGGGUUAAUUAUUUAUUUUUAUUAAAUUAUAUAUAGUGUAAAAUUUAAAGAUUAUUAUUUGCUCAAAAUUUUUGUAUUUUAGGAUUUUAGGAUCGCAUUUAAUUCAAUUGUAUUUAAGACCUCAUGAAUUUAUUCUAUAAUUUGAGUCUUUUCAACCUUUUGGGAAAUAAUAAAACAUCGACAUUAAACUUGUUGUUGAUGCAUUCAAUUUGAUUUUUUGAGGGGUCAUUGGAGUUAUAUGUGAAUUUAGCAUUGAUUGACUUUUUUAGAAUUAAUCUUUUAUACCAAUUUAAUAACAUCGACAUGUUUUUGGGUAGGGUCGAGCAAAACCCAAUUAAAACCGAUGAAAUUGGUUUAGUUAACUCGGUCAAGUCCAUUAGAUGGAUAAAAUCAAUUUUAAAAUCAGUUAUUAUGGAUUAAGGUAAUUAAUUAUCGAGUAAUGAAAUACAUAAUCAAAUCAAUUGAUUUUGUUAGAAACUAAAAGAAAGUGGGAUAAGCUGAAAACUGAUUGCCCUUUUUUAGAAUUAAGGAAUCAGCCUUUUACAUGUUAGAUAAUAUGAACACCCCAUAUAUAAUAAGAAAAAUUAUGUACGAUUAUUUAUUAUCAUAAAUGGUUAGUUUAAAUUUAAAGUAAUCUAAUAUGUGUGUUGAACUUCAACUAUUACAUAAAGUAUAAGCUAAAUAUGUAUAAAUAUUCUAGAAACCAUUUCUAACUGAUGAUAGGCUAAUUUGAAAUUAAGAUUAAUAUAUAAAAACUAGAUAGUAGGGUUAUAGUCCUCAAACUACACCUAAUUUAAUAAAAUCUAUAGUUUUUAUAGCCUUAAACAUUUAUAGAUUUUGUUAAUUUGGUCCUUACUCUUUAAAAUUACAUAAAAAUUGCAAAAAUAUUUUAGAAAUACAAUUUUUUCGUAUUUUUAAUAACAUUUAUAGUUUUUUUUUUGGUUUGGUAACUUAUCAACUCGACUCUUAAUUGUAACCAACUUUUCUGAUUUUUUCGUACCCUUAACCUAAGUCCCGUUACAACUUUCUAAAGACCUCUUGAUUGGUGUAUCAUCUCGAUUUGUUCUUAUAGUGGUGGGGAUUUGGUUUUCAAGCAAGCCUAUGCUAAUCACAUUUUUCGUUCAACUAUUGAGCACACAGUACUUGAACCUUAAACACUUUGAGUGCUUUGAGUGAAUCUUAGUUAGGGUAUUGAUUAUUGUUGAGUUUGAAUUUUAGGUAAUUAUUGAGAUGGAGGAGAUGCCUAUUUUUUUGUGCUUUACAAAUUUCUGCUUAGAUUGCUUUUAUUCUUUAGUUUCAUGCUAGUUUCAAUUUCCAGUGCAUGAUUAUCUAUAGAUUAUUCAUAAGGCAUUGUCGGUGAAAACAAUAAAUUGAGGGAGAUUAACUUGAAAUAAAUUGAGGGAUAUUAACUUGAAUAAAGGUUGAGAAUUUUGCUUAAGGACAAACAAAUGCUUAAGUGUGGGGAUAUUUGAUAAGUGCUAAAAUUGAUAUGUUUUAACAUCAUUCUUAAUGUGUUUUUGGUUGAUUAUUCGAUGUUAAUGAUGCUCCUAAUCCUUACAAUUCGUGUUUUUAUGCUUAAUAGAACAUUUGGGAGGAAAAUGAGCUAAAAAUGAACGAAAACCUGAAAAUGGGGGCAAACUAUAGGACAUGGGCUGACCUAUUCCUCAUGACCGUAUGACUCACACGAUCAUGUGGUAGGUUGUGUCGAUUUCGUAGAUUUGCACUCUGAACUGUAAAAAAAGAAAAUUUUAGAUUUUUUGAGCAUUUUAAUACGUAUAUAUGAAAAAAAUAAGAAGAUAGGAGAGAACCUUCCUAGAAUAUUUAAGAAAACAACUCCAAAGACACUAUUGAAGUCGACUCUGAAGCAAAUUUUCCUCAAGAUUGAAGAUUCCCAGUUGGUUUCUUAAGAGAUUAUCAUGAGUUUCUUUAUUUCUUCUGGUUAUACUGCCCUUUGGAUGUUUUUAUUUUUAAGCAUGAACUAAUUUUCUAAAUACCGAAUUAGAGAGAUGAACCCUAUGAUAGAUUGUGACACCCCAAACCCAACCGGAUAGACCCGCCCGAAUUCAAAGCAUUUCAUUAGCCACCUAAGUGACUCUCCAGCUAACGACCACCCAAGACACACCUCGACCUUAUAACACCUCAAUCUUAUCUAAUUACUAGUUAUUUAUUAAUGUAGAAGUAAAUUAAUAUGAGCCAAUUUUAAACUUUUUCUAGGUAAUUUAACCUAAAGGCAAUUUUGUCAUUUUACCACCUAAUGUAAAACUAACCCGAUUUUAGAUCUAAGUGUUUACUAACCUUCUUUUAGUCAAAUUAUACAAGCCUAAAAUUUUCAGCUUAAUUUGAGUCCGUUUACUAUGUCUAAUUCAAGUUUUAUUAAUAAGGACUCAAUUGUAACUUAAACAAAUUAAAAUACCAAUUUAAAGAGACAAAAAUUCAAAACUCCAAAACCCACACGGGCAUGUGGGUAAGUGACAAGGGCUUGUGGGAUUGAAAAAUAUGAAAUAAAUUAAUCCACUCAAUUUUCCAACAACCAUGCUAUACUACCAAACCAAAAAAACACUUGAAGUUUUGAAUAGGGGCGAAUCUAAAAAAAAUUAGAAGAAUUAGAAUUAAAUUAUAAAAUUUUGAGAAGUUAAAAUAUAAUUUUAUCAUGUAUUAAUUUAUUGUUUUUUAAAGGGUCCUAAUAUAAUUUUUUUCCCAUUUUGGUUGGGCCAAUACCCCUGCCUGCCUCUUUAAAUUUGCUCCAACACUAAACCCAAUAUUCGAUUUGGAUUAACAACAACAUAUAGGUUAGUAUUUGUGGGAGUUUGACGAAUAAAAAUUCCUUUUUUAGAUGUUUAAAUUAUAAAUUUUUGAAAGAUUAAAAUAAAUUUGUAUUUUUUUAUUAACAAAAUAUAAAAGAAAAAAAAAUAUGUUUAGACAAGCCAAGAGAACUUUGGGAUCAUACAGGUGAUUUUGAGAUGUUAAUGGUUAUUUUGGUGGACAGCGUAAAAAAGAAACAAAUGAUUCAUUAUAUAUAAUAUAAUUAUGAAUUUCAAGCCAUAUAUUGUAUGUUUCAUCCAUAAAAAUUUCAUGGGAGGUCCAAAGGUAAUUAAAUGACUUGUAGGCUUGCUGAAUUUCUUUGAAAGGCCCAAAGGCAAUUUAACAUUCACAAAAUAAUCUCUAAAUACUGUAAAGACAAAUCAAAUCCACAGUAGCAUUAGAGUUGAUUAAGCUAAGCAUUGGCAAAUAUUACUUUGAUUUUGCAUGCAAAAUUGGCAAAACCCCCUCUUACAUUAGAAAAACAACAUAAUCCAUGAAACAUUGAUGGCUCAAUACAAAUUUCAUCGAGAAAAAAGUCUCUUUGUUUUGGAGAACAUGAUAGUAAAGAUGUGGAGUUUCGUUCUUCUAAUUGGCCUCCUUUAGUUUUCCUUGAUCAACAACAAUUAGCCAAAAACACAGUUAGAUUAGAUUAUGAAUGAUACUUUCAACUAUGACAAUAUUAAAUACAAAACACUCUAAAUAAAUGGAAAGUAGCAAAUUAAGACCAUUGUGUUAUACUUGUCUCUGAAUUGAAAGAUUUAGAAGAAAAUAAAGAGAAAGAGUUAGAAAAUACUUGAAAACAGAUAAAACUUAUAUGUCAUUUAAAAUAAAAAAAAUUUCUAUUUAAGCCAUUUAAAAUUUUUAAGAUUUUUUAAAUUUUAAAAUGAUAAAGGUAAAACUAUAUUUUGGUACCCAAAAAUGAUAAAACUUUGAUUUAAUUCUUUAGAAAUUAUAAAAAUAUAGGCUAUUAAAAUGGUGAAAUUAUAUUUUUACUAUAUUAAAAAUUACAAUUUAAUUUCACUUGCUAAAAGGAUUUACUGGCUUCGCCCCUAAUAAAAUCUUUGGCAAAAGAUUAAAAUAAAAUUAUACCGUGAAUGGAAAAAGAAACUUAAGAAAACCCAAUCUCACAAAGAAAAUAACUUGUCCAAAAGCUACCAUAAACCGUAAUUCAUGCGAAGGCUUGUUGCUCAUUUUAUUGGUUUCCAUUUUGAUUUUGCAAAAGAAGUUUGAAUUUUGAAGAGAGCAAAAGAAAAAAAUAGUUUAUUAAUUUUUUACGAAUACCGACAUAUUAUAUACAUGAUUAAAAUUCCAGAAUAGAUUAAAAAUGUUGAAUUAAAGAUAAAAUUAAGUAUGAAUUAAGAACCACAAGUGUACUCAUUACUCACCAUCUCUGUUAAAAAUGUUGUUUAGCAACCUGUGUUUGAUUUUCUUCAGCUCAACCACAACAUCUUUCAUAUCUUUUCUUUCUUCUGGUAACUCAGCUGAACAAUUCAAAGCCAAUUCCAUGAUAGAUGAAAUACAAUUUGCUUUAACAACAAUGUACUCAUCCUCUCUUCUUAGUAAAUCAACAUCUGCAAUUUCUAUUGCUCCUUUAGGCAAUGAACUUUCCAUCCAAUGCCUUACAGUCUCUUCUUCAACAAAAACAUUAUCAGUUGGCUUUUUCUUUGUGAAAGUUUCUAUAAGGACGAUCCCAUAACUAUAGACGUCAGAUUUUAUAGAAACAAUUCCUGCUGAUCCAAAUUCUGCAUUUCAAGUAUCAUUAGAACAUCAUUCACCCUCAAUUAUUUCUAAAAUGCUUAUUCAAAUAUAUAUCCGCAUACACAAGAAACAAAAAUAUAAAAUGCAAAUUAGGAAAAUAAUCGUACAAAAACAAAAAAGAAUUCACCUGGUGCCAUAUACCCGAUAGUUGCAAGAGUCAUGGUUUGCUUCAUUACUUCACCUUCUCCCAACAAUUUGGCAACGCCAAAAUCUCCAACAUGUGCAACCAUGUCUUCAUCUAGUAAAAUAUUGCUUGGUUUUAUGUCACAAUGAAUUAUAGGUGUUGGAUGUCCAUUGUGGAGGUGUUCUAUAGCUACCGCAACAUCUAUCAUUAUGUCGACCCUUUGUAUGAUAUCAAGGAAACAAUUUUCAGAAUGUAACCAUUUCUCAAGGUUUCCAUUAGACAUGUAAUCAAGCACCAAGGCUUUGAAGUCAACACUUGAGCAGCAAGUAAUGACCUUCACAAUAUUACGAUGAACUAUAUUAAGCAUAACAUCACAUUCAAUGUCAAAACUCCUAAAUGCUCCCUCUGUUUGCAAAUUGAAAACUUUUAUUGCAACUUCCAUUCCAUCUGAAAGCCUCCCUUUAUAUACAUAUCCAAAACUCCCUGAACCAAGCAUAUUGCUUUCCUCAAAUCCAUUAGUUGCUCGUGAAAGUUCAGCAUGUGAAAUUCUUCUCGGUGUCUUCAAAGACAACAAAUCAUCUUUAACUGGUAGAGCUGUACUCCUUUGGCAUCUUCUAUACAUAAUAGUUAAGACUAUUAGUACUAGGACAAUACCAAUUGUUGGUAAACCAUACCUAAAAGCAUGUAAUAUAAUCAUUUGGGAGUUUUUGUGGAUGUCAUUUUUGCAAGGUGGGACUAGCAAUCUAGGUGGACCACAAAAUGCACAAUUAUUCAUGAAUGAUGUGCUAGAAAAGUUUGAAAAACAUCUUUUGCUGGGAAUUUCCCCUUCAAGUCUAUUGAAAGACACAUUAAAAUACUUUAGAUAUAAAAGCUUUUCCAAAGAUUUGGGAAUGACUCCAGAGAGAUUGUUAUUGCAUAAAUCCAAGAAUUCCAAACUAAUCAACCCAUCAAAUGAUUCAGGGAUAUGACCAUGUAGUAUAUUAUUUGAUAAAUCUAAUGAAACCAAAGUUUGAAGACCCCCAAAUGUGGAUAAGAUAUCGCCCAUGAGAAGAUUCCUUGAUAAAUUUAGUCUCAGUAGACUCCUAAAGUUUCCAACAUCAAUAGCAUGUGAAUUGUGAAGAUGGUUUGAUGAUAAAUCUAUUUCUAAGAUAUCUUUAAGAUUCCACAAAGUUGAGGGUAUUGUAGAACUCAAUUUGUUGGAAUCUAACCAAAGAUAUCUCAAAGCAGAAAUAUUACCCAAACAAGAGGGUAUGGGUCCAUGCAGCUUAUUCAACCCUAAAUACAUCUUGUAUAGUCUCUCCAAACCACAGAGGCUUUCUGGGAUAGGCCCUUCUAAUUUAUUAGAGGAAAGAUCUAGACCUUGCAGAUUCCGCAGUCCUCCUAUUGAUGCUGGAAUGAAUCCACUUAAUUUAUUAUGGUCAAGUUCUAAAACCAAUAAGUUGGUUAAGUUACCUAUUUCCAUAGGAAUAAUGCCUUGAAGCUCACAAUUAUAGGCAUGAAAGGAUUGAAGGGAUUUUGAAAGGUUCCCAAUAUAAGUAGGAAGAACGCCACUCAAUGGAUUUCCUGAAACACCUAUUUUUCUCAAAUUCCUACAAUUCGUCAAAGAAGAAAGAAAGCUCCACUCAUGAUCAGUAGCAGAUCCUGUGAUCAAAUUAUUGUCAGUGAUUUUGAGCACUUCAAGGUGUUUUAAGCUGCCAAGCAUUUUAGGGAUUGGGCCAGAGAAUGAGUUAUCUUCCAAGUCUAGUUUCUUAAGCAUGGAAGCAUUGGAGAUAGAGUAAGGAAUGUUUCCGCUAAGUUUAUUUCCCCACAGUAAAAGAAUCUGAAGCUUUGGAGCAUUGGUAAUGGGUGGUAAAUUACCUGUAAAAUAGCAUCUUUUAGAAAACAUAUUCAUUGAAUACCAAAUUCACAAAAUAUAUAAUACAUUAAAAUUAAAACUUUAAAACUUUAAAUCAAUUAAGAAUAAAAUUUUGGCAUGGAAAAUUGUGAUGAAAUCAAUUAGAAAGUUGAGACAUAAUAAGAAGUUUUGAGUAGUAAUUACUCAUGAUUUCCAUAGACAAAACAUAUAAUACACUGAUAAUUUUUUUAAAAAUAUUGUAAAACCUGAAAUAAAAUAAAAAAUAAAAGUUUGGCAUGAGAAUGUGGCAUCUAAUCAUUCUUAAAAAUAAGACUAACAUUGAAUAAUAAUUAGUUAUGAUUUGAGAAACAAAAAUGUUAAAGAUGUAAACUGGUAUGAUUUUUAUCUAUUGGGUUAAUUAUUUAUUUUUAUUAAAUUAUAUAUAGUGUAAAAUUUAAAGAUUAUUAUUUGCUCAAAAUUUUUGUAUUUUUCGUAUAUUUGAAAUUUAAUCUUUAUAUUUUUUAUUUUCUGUGAUUUAGUCUCUCUACUUUUUGAAUUGAAAAUUUUAAGUUUAUUUAUUAACACUGUUAAAAAGUUUUUGUGUUAGUAUGGCAUUUUGAAAAAUAAAAUAAACUUGAUAUCUAUGUUUUUAAUUAUUCCAAAUACUGUUUUACUAUUCCAAGAUAAAUUAUUUGUGUCUAGACCAAUAUCUUAAGAACUAUUGUUGCAUGUUUAAUUAUUCUAAAGAAUUGUUGAUUGAGUCUUAGUUGAAGUGCACUAUUCUCCUAUUUAUGAAUUGGGGAGUUGAUAAAGUACUAAAUUUUGAUAUAUUUUAAAAAAUUAAAAAUUUAUUAAAAUAUUUUUAUAAAAAUUAAUUGUACCAAAAUAUACAAUUUUAAUAUCAAAUUUUUAAUUUUUUUAAAAAUAUUAGCGAAUAUAUACUUUAUUUCAAGUUACACAAUUUUUACUAGUUUUUAACUUUUUUUUUAAAUUUUUAUCGUCUUUUAUAAUUUCAUAUAUUUUUUUAUAAUUUUUUACAAUAUUUACAAUUUCUAACAAUUUUUAAUAAUUUUAUUAUUUAUUAUAAAUUUAAAAAUUAACAAAUUUUUAUUUUUUUAAAACAAUUAUAUAUUUAUAAUGUAGUUAUUUUUUUAUAAUUUUUUUUGAAAUUUAAAGAUUUUUUUGGUUUUUUCUAGAUGAUGAUGCCAUCAUGAUGUCAUCAUAUGCCACAUGGCAAUUUAUAAUUAGUUGACUAUCUCAAUCUAUUUUUUUAACGUCCAAUGGACUAAAACAAGAACACCUGAUAAUGUUAGAGACUACACUAGGAAUGUUUGAUAAUAUUAGGUACUAAAGUGGGCAAAAAAAAUUAAGGACUAUAUUAAAAAUAUAUCUAUAAUAUAUAUAAAUGCAUGGAUUUUGAGAAACUUUUGAAAUGACAAAUAUAUAGUCUUUGUUUUUUUUUACUAUAUUAUUGAAUUUUUUAUUUUAAAUAUUUUUUUAUUACUUUUAAGAUUUAUCAUAUGUAUGGAUAAAAAUUUUGGUUUUACUAAAAUAUUUGGUUAAAUAAAUUCACUUUAUAAAAAAAUUUAGCAUCCUUAUAAAUAACAAUUUUGAUUCCAUUAAAAAAAUUAUUUAAAAAUAUAUAAUAAAAAUUUAAAAUUUAUAUUGAAUCACUUUAUACUUAAAUUAUUAUUAGAAACUUUAUCAUACACAUAUGUGUAUGAGAACCACGUUUUCAGAACUUAAAUUUGUGUUCUAAAAUAACUUAUGAUAAAUAAUUAAAUGUAUAAUUUGAAAUUAUAUUGAAAUAAAAAUAGAUUAAAUUGUAAGUAAAACAUAUAUAAUUUAAACAUAUGAAUACAUCAAAUUAAAAAUACUAAAUGAAUACAUUUAUUUAUGAUGAUGUUGUUGUCAAUUCAUAAGUUGGUGUCGAGUUAAUUUGUGACAUCAUAAUUUUAAGUGAUAAAUUUAAGGUUUUAUGUAUUGAUGUCGAUUCAAAUAUCACCAUAAUUUUUUUAAAUAAAAAACUAAAGCACCCUCAAAUAAUAUAACUUAUAUUAAAUAUGAAAGGGUAUUUUUGUAAUUUCUCUAACGAGUUGGUGCCCGGUUGACUCAUGACACCAACUCAAUCAAAAGCUUCAAUAAUAAUAUAGAUAUUCACGUUUAAAAAAAGUACUUUAGUUCGAAAUAAUUAUGUAACAAGUAAUUUUAUAAUUGAUGAAUAAUUUUAUAAAAAUAUAUUUAUAUGAUCUAAUAUAUUAUAUUUAUAUUAAUUAUAUAUCAUCUACAAACUUUGAAGAUCAAUUUAUUAAGUAUCAGGAAAAGAAAAAAUGAAAUUGAAUUAACACUAAAUCAAUUUUUAGAUUUUGUACAGAUGAUUUAAUGAUGAUAAAAACAUUAUUAGCACUAUUUUUGAAUUAACAAAAAAUUAGUGAUAUAUUUUAAUUAUAUUUUUUAUUUUUUAUUUUUAAUAAUAUUUUUUUAAUUAUAUGAAGUAAAAUUAUAUUGUAUACUAAAUAUGGUACAUAUACUUUAAUUAAAACUUGAAAAAGUAUUAUAUAAAUUAAUAUAUUUUAAUUAUAUUCAACCAUUUGAAUAACAAAAUUAAAAAAAAACUAAUUAGAAUUAUUUACUUUUUAAAGUUUAAUGGAAAAUAAAAAAUAAAAAAUAAAUCAAUUCAUAUAAAUCUUAUUGUUUAUUAUCAGAUUAAAAUGAUAAAAGUAUAUGACAUACAUAGAAGAAACAAAUUCAACACCAUGUUUUUGGAGUUUGGAAAAAAUUAAAGUGAAAAACCUACCUUCUAAACUGUUGUUAAAUAGAUCUAUUUCUUCGAGCGUAGUUGAAUUAAAAAUACUUGAUGGAAUCUGACCUGCACACAUAGUCGAAAAUUGAAGUGAAAUCAAACUCUUUUGUGAAAAAAAUAUUACCAGAUAAUUCAUUCCAACCCAGGUAAAGCCCUUCAAGCUUGGGAAGAUGUUGACACAUAUCAUUAGGCAAACUACCUGAUAGGCUAUUGUUGGAGAGAUUAAUGGUCUUCAAAGAAGAAAUGUUGAAGAUCGAAGUUGGAAUCUGACCUAUAAGGCCUUUAAUUGCUCUAAUACUAAGCCUUUCCAAACUAAGAAGAUUACCAAUUUCCUUAGGAAUUAGACCUGCAGACAGUCGAAAAUUCAAUGUUUUUCAGCAUAUGUUUUUCAUCAAAUGAAAUAAAAAGUUCUUCCUUUUGUUAUCUAUUACAAAUCAAACUCUUUUAUAAAAAAAAUACUUUAAAUUCAAGAAAUCAAGGAAAUUGAUUACCUUCUAGAUUAUUAAACCCCAAAUAUAAUUCUUGGAGUCGUGUUAGAUUUCCAAUACUUCUUGGAAUGAUCCCCAUAAAUUGAUUAUAGGACAACGACAAAAUAUUAAGGUUGUUGCAUUUGCCCAUGCCAAAUGGAAUGUUACUAGAAAACUCAUUGCUAUCCAAGUAAAGCCCUUCAAGCUUGGGAAGAUGUUGACACAUAUCAUUAGGCAAACUACCUGAUAGGUUAUUGUUGGAGAGAUCAAUGGUCUUCAAAGAAGAAAUGUUGAAGAUCGAAGUUGGAAUCUGACCUGUAAAGCCUUUAAUUGCUUUAAUAUUAAGCAUUUCCAAACUAAGAAGUUUAAAUCAAUUAAGAAUAAAAUUUUGGCAUGGAAAAAUGUGAUGAAAUCAAUUAAAAAGUUGAGACAUAAUAAGAAGUUUUGAGUCGUAAUUAGUCCUUCUGAUUUGUAUAGACAAAACAUAUAAUACACUAAUAAUAAUUAGUUUGGCAUGAGAAUGUGGCAUCUAAUCAAUCUUAAAAAUGAGAUGACACUGAAUAAUAAUUAGUUAUGAUUUGGGAAACAAAAAUGUUAAAGCCAUUGCUUUUAAUGUAAACUAGUAUGAUUUUUAUCUAUUGGGUUAAUUAUUUAUUUUUAUGAAAUUAUAGUGUAAAAUUUAAAGAUUAUUUUUAUCUAUUACAAAUCAAACUCUUUUAUGAAAAAAAUAUUUUAAAUUAAAGAAACAAAGAAAAUUCAAUAUCUUCUAAGUUAUUCCACUCCAAAUAUAAUCUUCAGUGAAGAAAUCUUGAAGAUGGAAGAUGGAACCUUACCAGAUAAUUGAUUGAAUCCCAAGCUCAAGGACUCUAGAUUAGACAUGUUAACAAGUGUUUCAGGGAUUGUGCCUAUAAAGUUAUUAUUUUUCAUUUUCAGCCUUCGAACUCCCUGUAAGUUCCCAAGCCAUGAUGGAAUUUCCCCAUUAAGACUGUUGUAUUUUAAUCGAAGGAUCCUCAAACGAUGCAAUUGGCCCAAUUCUUUAGGGAGAUGGCCAUAGAAAUGGUUUCUACUCAAGUCGAGAGAGAGUAGAAAUGAAAGAUUUCCAAGGUGUGGAGGGAUACUACCCCUAAGAUUCAUGCUUUUAAGUUUGGAAACAAAUUCAACACAAUGUUUUUGGAGUUUGGAAAAAAUUAAAGUGAAAAACAUACCUUCUAAUUUGUUGUCAGAUAGUCCUAUUAUUUCGAGCAUAGUUGAAUUAAAAAUACUUGAUGGAAUCUGACCUGCACAUAUAGUUGAAAAUUGAAGUGAAAAACAUACCUUCUAAACUGUUCAACUAAAAAAACUUUAAGCAUAUUUGUUUUUCCAUCAAAUUAACUAUUUUGCCUUGAAUGAAAUAAAAUGCUCUUACUUUUGUUAUUUAUUACUAAUCAAACUCUUUUCUAAAAAAAAACUUUAAAUUAAGAAACUAAGAAAAUUCGGUACCUUCUAGGUUAUUAAACCCUAAAUAUAACUUCUGGAGUCGUGUUAGAUUUCCAAUACUUCUUGGAAUGAUACCCAUAAAUUGAUUAUAGGACAACGACAAAUUUUUAAGGUUGUUGCAUUUGCCCAUGCCAAAUGGAAUGUUACCAGAUAAUUCAUUCCAACUCAGGUAAAGCCCUUCAAGCUUGGGAAGAUGUUGACACAUAUCAUUAGGCAAACUACCUAGGUUAUUGUUGGAGAGAUCAAUGGUCUUCAAAGAAGAAAUGUUGAAGAUCGAAGUUGGAAUCUGACCUGUAAGGCCUUUAAUUGCUUUAAUAUUAAGCAAUACCAAAUCAAGAAUAUUACCGAUUUCCAAACCAAGAAUUUAUAGAAGAAACAAAUUUAACACAAUGUUUUUUGAGUUUGGAAAAUGUUAAAGUGAAAAACAUACCUUCUAAUUUGUUGUCAGAUAGUCCUAUUAUUUCGAGCAUAGUUGAAUUAAAAAUACUUGAUGGAAUCUGACCUGCACAUAUAGUUGAAAAUUGAAGUGAAAAACAUACCUUCUAAACUGUUCAACUAAAAAAACUUUAAGCAUAUUUGUUUUUCCAUCAAAUUAACUAUUUUGCCUUGAAUGAAAUAAAAUGCUCUUACUUUUGUUAUUUAUUACUAAUCAAACUCUUUUCUAAAAAAAAACUUUAAAUUAAGAAACUAAGAAAAUUCGGUACCUUCUAGGUUAUUCAACCCCAAAUAUAAUUCUUUGAGUUGUGUCAGAUUUCCAAUACUUUUUGGAAUGAUCCCCAUCAAUUGAUUAUAGGACAAUGACAAAAUUUUAAGGUUGCUGCAUUUGCCCAUGCCAAAUGGAAUGUUACCAGAUAAUUCAUUCCGACUCAAGUAAAGCCCUUCAAGCUUGGGAAGAUGUUGACACAUAUCAUUAGGCAAACUACCUGGUAGGCUAUUGCUGGAGAGUUUAAUAAUCUUCAGAGAAGAAAUAUUGAAGAUGGAAGAUGGAACCUGACCAAAUAAUUGAUUGAAUCCCAAGUUCAAGAUCUCUAGAUUAGACAUGUUAACAAGUGUUUCAGGGAUUGUGCCUGUAAAGUUAUUAUUCUUCAUUUCCAGCCUUCGAACUCUCUGUAAGUUCCCAAGCCAUGAUGGAAUUUCCCCAUUCAGACGGUUGUAGCUUAAUUGAAGGAUCCUCAAACGAUGCAAUUGGCCAAAUUCUUUAGGGAGAUGGCCAUAGAAAUGGUUGCUACUCAAGUCGAGAGAGAGUAGAAAUGAAAGAUUUCCAAGGUGUGGAGGGAUAGUACCCCUAAGAUUCAUGCUUGUAAGAUUCAAAGCUAUAACUCUUUUAUGGAGGAUGCCACAAGAAACACCAAUCCAAUUGCAAACAGAGGUUGAGGCCGUCCAAUUGUUUGCCAAGACAUUUUGAGGACCGGCAAUGCGAUCCUUAAACUCGAGAAGUGCAAACUGAUCGGAGUUGAGAUUCCUGACUGUCAUACCCCAGCAAAGUCCGGAACAUGGUAUGAAUAAAGCUAAAAGAAGAUGAAAGCAAGUGUUGUAGUUCAUGAUAGCAAGACGGAAUAAGCCAAGAAAAUAAAAAAAAGUAGGACAAGGGAAGUUGAGUUGAUAAAAUAGUUUGGAUGAUGAAGAAAAGCCCAGAGAGCAUGCUUUAAUAUGUUUUGAAGAAAUUUCAAAAUAAAUUUCAAAAUAAAUUUCAAAAUAAAAAUUUAAAAAGGAAAGCAAAGUUUUGAAGAAAUUUCAAAAUAAAUUUCAAGUCUUCUUCUUUAAAAAAUACGUACAAAGAGCGAAUUUUCAAAAUUUUUCCUAAAUUUUCUUCACAUUACUCCACAUAAUCCAUUAAAAAAACUUAAAAAAUAUAUUUUAUUAAUUACUAUACAUUCUUUUAUUUUCAGAAUAAUAAAUUGUUUAAAAUUUGCUAUUAGUCCCUAUAAUUUAAAAGUUAAAAAAAAUUCAAUCCUCCUACUUUUCUAAUUUAAAAAUUUUAGUUCAAUCAAUUUUAAUUUUAAAAUCUCUGUAUAAAAGGUGUUUUUUUUGUGACCGAUCACACUUAACCAAUAUUUAAAAAUUAAUAAAAAAUAUUUUUUUUUGAAAUUUAAAGUGAUCUAAAAACAUAUUUUUAAGUGCUUUGGACCGUCUAUUGUUGAUUUCCUUAUUAUAUUAAGUGUUUGCAAUCACUCCUAAUAUAUUGUGCUUGAGUUGUGACAAAGCCGAUCAUCAAAUUGCCAUAAUGAUCUAUUGAUGCUGAAAUUGAAGUUUUUGUUAUAUUGAUAGAGCUUGUCCUUCAACGCGUACAACGUGUUUGUUAUUUUUCUCCCUUCAAAUUGUAUGAUCUUAUUCAUUAAAUGAAUUAAUGAAUUUCCCUUUUAAAAAGAUAUAUUUUUAAAAAUUAAAUACUUUAUAAAAUAUUUAAAAAUUUGUAAGCCUUAAAACAAUCAACAAAAUAUUUUUGAAAUUUUAUAAAUAUAUUUUAAAACUAUAGUAACGCUACAAAAUAUAUAUAUUUACUAAUUAUAUGCACCUUUUUUAUUUUUAUUUCCUAACAUAUCAUUAUUUUCAACACUAUCGUAAUCCUGUUUUGAUAAUUCCCUUUCCAUACAUCCUUUUUCUACAUAGAAUUUCAAAAGAAAAUGUGAAUUAAUGUAAACGUGAGAAGACUUAAUUACAUUUAUUAGUUUAUCAAUCAAAACUUAAUUAGAAUCCAUCAAUAUUUCACACAUCAAAAACCCAAACAUAAAAUUCACUUUUAAAUUAUUUGAAGAUACAUUUGUAUUAUAGGAAAUCGAUUAAAUUAGUCUUUUAUUAUUAAAUGUAUUAUUUUAAUCUUUGUAUUAGGUAUGAAUGAUAUCUCCUAAAUUGAAGCCAGAGCUAUUCUUGAAAGACUGAAAUUAGGAUUCAGAUGUGUUGAGAUGGAAAGUGACAACACAAUGUUGAUUGAAACUAUUUGUAACAGGUUGACUACAAUAAGUAGUGCUGCCGAAGUAAGACAGAUUCACGAUUGGUGUUCCAAAAAUUGGGAAGUCAAAUUUAGACAUAUUCAGCGGAAUGCCAAUAAAGUUGUUGAUUGCAUAGCUAAGGCAAAUGGAGGCGUAAUUGAGCAGCUGGUUAUCUUGGAAGAUCCUCUGCAUUAUGUGAGAUGGUAGCUUGAAGAAGAUAUUAGACAGUCACUAGUGACUGAUGAUAAUUUUCAUUUGGACUGAUGAGCGCUUAAUUUUCUAAGCUUAUGUUCAACAAAAAAAAUUUUAACUACGUUUAAAUUGUAAUAGAGUUAACAUUUAGUGUUUAAAAAAUAUCUUAAAAAUUAUUAUUUUUUCCAAUUGCAGUUCAAUUCCACAAAUAUCGACGAUGAAUCCGGACAUAAAAAUUAUAGAAAAAAAACACAUCUAUUAUCAAACCAACAAUCCAUGUCUAAACUUAAAUUAACAAAAUUUGCCACGCAACGCCCAGUACACUAUUAUAUAUAUACUAGAUUUAUUCUAGAUGCACAUGUUUUAUUAUAUUUAAAAUUUAAAAUAUAUGGUUGACUAAGUGUUAGUUGAGUUAGUAUUGCUAUUAUUGUCAGUGUAAGGAAAUGUGAGUUUAAUUGCGCUCAAAUGUGUUUUAUCCUCCAAUUCAAGGGUUAGGAAAAGGUUAUUGAUAAUUAAGUUAUACCAACUUUUAUGAUAUUAAAAAAAGGAUUUAUAAAUAAUAUAAGGAAAAGAAAGAAAGAGAAACAUAUUCAUAUUGAUGGGCUCUUUCAAUAUUAGACUUUUUUUUCUAUCACAAGUAAAAAUAUCAAAGGUGAUAAUAAUUAAAUUAUAAAAUUUAAAUUGAGAAAAUAGGGGAUUGAGUUUAUAAGUUUUAAAGUAUAAAGAAUGAAUAUAUAACUAACAACAUAUUUUAACCACAUAAUAAAAGUAGUUAUGGUAAAAUAAUGACCUGAAUAAUUUUAAACGUCUCAUCCUUGCAAAAAUGAAAUAAUAGAAAAGAAAUAAGUGUUGGGUGUAGUGGCAAUGUACAUCAUACUUCUAAGGGGAGAUUAGGGUUUUAGACAAGGGAAGAAUUUUAAACUUGCUCUUUUCUCUAGAACUCAACGCAAACCUCAAAUUUAUCUUUUUAAAAGAAUUUAAAAAUAUGUAUAUAAAAGGUGAUUUUUUUACCGAUCACACUUAACAAAAUUUUAAAAAAAAAUGAAAUUUAAAGUGAUCUAAAAACAUAUUUUUAAGUGCUUUAGACCAUCCUGUGCUGAUUUCUUUAGUAAUUUGAUUUGUUCAAUAUAGAUUUUGGUAACUUAAAACAAAAUUAAUAAAAAAUUAUUUUUUUAGAUAUCUUUUUAAUGUUUAAUAAUAAGUUAAUUUAUAAAAUAUACUUUCAUUGGACACAGGGCCUCCAAGGCGGUGAACCACUAAUCAAAUUAAUUUUGAGAUACUUAAAUUUGUUUUCAUCAAUUAAGAAAUUAAAAAAAUUGUUGAGACCUCAUGAUUAUGUUUUAUAAUUUCAGGCUUAUCAACUAUUUUGAAAAACAACAAAACGUCUUACACCAAAAACUAAAAAAUAAAAACGUCGACAUUAAAUUUGUUGGCAUGCAAUCAAUUUUAAGAUGGUUUUUGGAGUUAUAUAUCACCUUAGCAUUGACUUACUUUUCUACAGUUUGUCUUCUCCAACAAGUUAAAUAUUUCAAUUUUAACAACAUUGACAGGUCUUUGGGGUAGGGUCGAGCAAAAUUCAAUAAAAACAGAUGAUAUAAGUUGAGUUGGCUCGGCCAAGUCGAGUCGAUUUGUUCAAAUUAUUUAAAUUAGUAAAUUUUAGGGUGCAAUUAGAAUUUUUUGUUUUGAGAUGCUAAUUAGAUUAAAAAAUUUCAGUUGCUAAAACAAAAAAAUUGUAUUUAAAAAGGCAUAAAUUAAAUAAUUAAGUUUUUCGAGUUUCCAUUUAAUCAAAGGUUAAAAGGACUAAAUUGAAGCUUUUUAUUUUUAAGAAAGGCUGAAUGACAAAUUGCCCAAAGCCCAUGGCCCUAGCUAUACAACUAACUUUUCUAUGAUUAGUCCUUGGUUUGCUUUGGGUGAAAUCUUCCAACUAGCCUCAUCCUUGGUUUUACUUUCCAACAAUUAGUGUAUCGCGGGUUUUGUUUUCUUUAAAAAAUAUUUGUGGAUAUUAGGAGAUAAUGAAAAUUAUUUUACUAUGAAAUUUUAAUAAAACUGGAAAAUAAGUAAUUUAUUUUAAGAGAUCACAAUUAAACGUUAGAUUUCCCCUUUUUAAAUUAUAAAUUUUUUUUUGACAAUUGCAUAAUAUUUUGAGCGUUGUAGGAAUGCCAUAAUAUAACCUUCCCUACGCAUAAUCGACUCUUGAGCAUGAUGGAUCCUAGACCUUCUCCUCUAUUCUCGUACCACAAAUUGCUUCAAGUGUGGGUUCGAACAAUCACAAAUUAAACGCAAAACCAAAAAUGAUUUAUUACUUUCAAUAGCAAAGUAAUUCUCUCUCAAUAGAAACCAAUAGAAUUGUAAUUCCUAGAAAAUAAAAUUUAUUUUUUGAAAAUAUAUUCUCACUACUUUCUAGCAGAAUAACAAUAUGUGAAACUUAUGUCUUGUGUUAAUAGCUCUACCAGUACUAUCUAUUUAUAGGGAGAGACACGAGAAUCCUGGUUGAAUUAGUAAAACACGAAUAAUAUUUAUUUCAUAGAAAACAAUAUUCCACCCUAAGUAGAUCAAGUUUGUAUGACGCAUGGAUCAAAGCUCAAUCUAGGAGAAAAAAAACAAAGGAAUUUUCUUUGUAAAGAAAAUUUGAGAUUGUACUAUUUUCAAAGUUAUAAAUAAAAUUAUACGCCAAAUUUUCAAGUCAAUUUUCAACUCCAAUUUUGUAUGCACAAAUUUCUAAUACACUUGGUGGGACAUUCUUUGACUUUUAUCUAUUCUCUCAAAAAGUUAAAGUUCAAAGUUACAUUAAACUCAAAGAAGAUAUUCAUUAGUAAACCACCUCACAAGCCUGCUCAAGCUAAUCCUACAACUCGUUCCACUUCAUCAUCAAACACCAAUAUUCUUGCUUAUCCUUAUGGAAUUAAACAGUCUCAUUUUCUGCAUUUUGGGUACACACUUAGUUUUGUUUGAUGCUAAAACAGUCCCCGAGCACUCCAAAACCUAUAAUUGAACAAAUAAUACUAAUUUAAUCUUACAUAACAUGAUCCCAAAUUGAAAUUGUAUCGAGGUUUUAACCCAUAAGUGACUAAACCUUACCUUCAACCGAUGAACAGUAAUUCCCACACAAACUAAGACUCCAAUUGGAGAUUACGAGCCAUUGAAUCCUCCCCUAAUUGGCAUAAACAAAACACUUCAAAAGAAAGUUAACAAAUGGAGACAAAUCACUUAUCUAAAACUUACCGAACGAUCACAGAAAAACGUGGAGUGACACGAGGCAGAGUGGGAAAAGAAAAAUCAAGAGGAUGAAGGGUGAAAGAGAGCAAAAAUUCGGUAGCAAUGAAGAGAAAAACAGCAAGAAAGUGGAGGGAUUUUAGGGAAAGUAAAAAAAAAGAUGAAUAGAAUAUUUGAUAACUACCCAAUCCCUUAUUUCUCUCUAUCAAACUCCCCACUAAAUCCACUACUCGAAUUUUUAGUCCAUCUCAAACUCUCCUGGACGCACGAGCAAAAAAUAAUGACCAUGCCAAAAUUUAAACAAAAGACCUCCUUCACACCAACACUCCACUUAUCCACCAGACCAAUAGGCUCAUUCUUUUAAUUAUUUUCCAACUUUUACUUAAAAGCCUACUGACCAAAGAUAGGGCUUAUUCAUAAAAAUACCAAAUUUUGCCCAAGACCUGGCUUGAACUUGGGACCUCUCAAACACACCCAGAACACAUAACCACUAAAGCAGACAGAAAUUUUGUGUCACACAUUCACAAUACCCAAAAUUAAAAUUUUAGGGCGUUACAAAAACACAUUAAACAAUAUCGCAUAAAACAAUCACAGUCAGAUAACAAUUCAGAAUGUCGAUUUUACAAUUUAACCACCAAUAGUAUCAUAGUAUUCACAGUUGUAAUUUCAGAAUAUCAAAUUUCCACAUCAUUCACAAUAUUCACACAUAUAUAAAUAUAUCAUAAUAGAAUUCUAGAUUUGUAUGCACAUGAUUUAGAAGAUGCCAUACAAUUUUGGGUUUUAACAGAAUAAAUCCUACCCCACAUUACAUACCAUAAUGGGAGUUCCCCUAAACUCCCUUCUCCAACACACUAGGUUGUGGAUAAACCACUAUUGGUUCACAAAUAAUAACUGUCAUUUGGCUGUGGACACAUAGCAAGUCCCCGCAAUUGGAUUCUAGAUUUGGUUGUGGAUUCACAGCAAAAAAAUCCUACAAAUGAAGCCUGCUUUUGCCUGUAGAUUAUACAACAUAUACCCGCAGUUGGAAUCUGUCUUUGGCUGUGGAUGCAGUGUAACACCUCAAACUCGACCUAGACGUUAUGGCUAAAUCUUAAUGAUUUACUUUAACUCGCUAGAAAGCCCACGAAUUUACUUUAAAAUCAUGUGGUUAAACUAGUGUUCACUUUGAUAAAUCGUUUUCCAGUUUUAGAGAAAAUUCUUGUUAAAACUGUUACUUUAUUACAAUAAAACAUUGAAGUAAUUGUAUCAUUUUGUAGUGGAAUCUACUAAGCUAUAAGGUUUUGAAAAUCGUGAUUUAGUUUGAAACAAAUCAUUUUGCAAAUAGAAAUUUAAUACUACUUAAUUUGGAAAAGCACGCUAAAACGAAAGCAAAGUCCAAAAUAAUUUACGGUUUGAAAUUCUAAAAAGCCCAAAUUAGUCAUAAAGUCUAUUUAAACCAAUUUAUCGAAAGUGUAACACCCUAAACCCGGCCUGUAUGUUAUGGCCAAAUCUAGAUGUGUUACGAAAAAAAGUUUAUAAAACGACUUCCUUGUUAUUGGCAAAUCAUCGUAGCCAUUAUUACUUAGUAUAUCUGAUUUGUUUGGAAAACUUAUUGAUAUACUUAUUUGAUUUAAAAUCGUUGCUCACUUACGCCUUUUUAUUAAACCAAAUAUUUUGCAGCGGAGUUUCUUUAAAACAUCAUAUUUUGGAAAAUCAAAUUGUUUCUUGAAAAUCGUUAUUUUAGAAAAGUUGUCAUUUUCAGAAAAAUUAUUUUAUCAGUUGUUAUGCUGAGAAAACAAAAUAAAAUCCAAAACCAAAAAUAGUCCCAAAAAGUCUAGAGAGUCCCAAAAUGACAAUACUCUUAAAACUAGACAAGUUUAAACUAAUUUUAAAAGAAUGAAAUUUUACAGAAAUGUGGACACCACUGAGCUUCCGUCGCACCGACCCACCUAAAUCUGAGGGUUACUUGAACAGAAUAAACAAACAGAGAGUGAGUUUUGAAACUUAGUGUCUAACGCGUAUAUAAACAAAAAUUCAGAAUCAAUCUCAUGCAGAACAGAUACAAGUGUAAACCUUUUAUAAAAUUAGAAUUAUACAGAUACAAAUAUGCAACAUCCUACCCUCAUCCUCUACACACCAACUCCGACCAUUCUAUCACACCACGUGGGGUAUAAAAUACCCACCCAGCCCUACACACCGUAUAGUAUUUAUAUGACACUUUUUGGAAUAAUCGCAGCAGAGUUGCCAGUAUAUAGGCGAGAUAUCACCUCACACAGAACACUUCCUCCUCAUAAUACAAAUCCCGCCCCAUAGCCAGAUACAGACAAAAUAUCAUGUAAAAUAAAUUAACAGAUACUAGAGUUAACAUAUCACGCAUGAGCGUAUAAUAGAUAUUACACAUGCUUAUGCAUAACAAAAUAGAUCAUACAUAUUGUAUUCCAUAAUACUCAUAUAAAUGUUAUUUACGUCAAUCUCAAUCUAAUAGAGUAGCUGAUUUCAUGCUUUAACUCUUAUACCACACAUACAGACCCUAUAGAAGGCCCACAGUUGAUCGAGACAACAUGUAUGUCCCUAGGGAAAAAAUUUGUAAUUUGGGCCCAUAUGCAUGUAUGAGCCCACACACCCAAAAUGGCCUUGCCCAUGUGGCUCACCUACCUAGCACUCAGCCCAUACGGUCCAAAAUGGCCUAGGUCGUGUGUCACACACAGCCGCAUGUUGCACACAGCCUACCACAUAGCGAGUCACAAAACCGUUUGGAGUUGACAAGCCUAAUUUUUGGCUUUCGUCAAUCGUCAUUUUCUUACGUUUUCAUUACACACUUGGUUUGAUUCUGACCCAAAAGCAACCCUAAGUCCACCGAAACCUAAAAAUAGCAUUCCAAUGCCCAAUUUCAGUGAACAUUUACAAAACUUAAACAAAAACUAUCCAAAAACAUAGCCUCACAAUAGCAUCCAAUGCACUCGCACACUUACCGUCAACGAAUAGGAAACACCCAACACUCAAUUCGUUGGCGGAGCACCAAUUAUGAUAAUGCAAAAAUUUUAUGGAUUCUCAACACUAUCGAUCCAAAUGUAAGAUUGAUGCUUUCCAAUUAUGAUAAUGCAAAAAUUUUAUGGGAUGGUUUACAUGAAUUUUUGUUGUUGUCAACGAUCAAUGUAUUCAAUAAUUAAAAGAAAAUAUUAGUCGUUGUUAGAAAACCAAUACUAUGAGUGUUGUAGUUUAUUUCAGUAAAUUAAAGGUUUUGUGGGAUGAACUAGACAAUCAUGAACAAUUGAUUUAUUGCAAGUGUGGACAAUGUUUAUGUAACUUAGGGAAGACGGAUGAACAAUGUCGUGAGCAUGAUCGACUUCAUCAAUUACUUCUUGCUCUCUAUUCUAAUUGUUAUGCUCAAACUAGGUUUACAUUGUUUUACCAAGAUCCUUUGCCUUCCUUAAAUCAGGCAUUCCAACAAAUUACUUAGGAGGAACAUGUACGUGGAAUUACACUGAUUAAGGAAGAGAAGUCUGAUAUUUUAGGCUUUGCUUUGCAUACAGAAGGUCAUAACAAAGGCCGAGCUAAUUGUAUUGAUAAGUCAACCUUGUUGUGCACUCAUUGCUAUCGCAAAAGGCAUGAGAUGGCUACCUAUUUUGAAUUACAUAGCCACUUGGAUUGGCGGCUUAAGAAGUAUGGGAAGCCAGAGAAGAAAAGUGAUGAUCGUGGUGGUAAGACAAGUGCACAUCUUCCACGUAAGUAUUUUAUUUCAAAGGAUCACAAUUAAACAUUAGAUUUCUCAUUUUUAAAUUUUUUUUAUUUUUUUAACAACUACGUAAUUAACGAGUACCAAUUUUGGGUGUUGUAGGGGUUCUAUAACUUUCCCUAUAUGUAAUCGACUCUUGCACCCUCUUUUUUUCUCUAGAAUUCAAUGCAAACCUUAAAUUUAUCUUUUUAAAAGAAUUUUAAAAUCUCUUUAUAAAAGACGAUUUUUUUAGGUGACCAAUCACAGUUAAGAAAAACAAAUCGGUGGCAACUCCUUUCUAAUAAAUGUAAAAAACUUUUUAAACAAAAUAAGGUUGAAAUAAUCUAGUUGUCGUUAUACUUUGAUAAAAUUUUAGAUUUAGUCCUUAUACUUAAAAGGUUAAAAAUUAAGUCUUGUUUUUAUUUAAAAAUCUUAGUCCUAUCGUUAAUAUUGUUUUUUUUUUGUCAAAAUUUGUCAAGUUGACAUAUUAAUUAGGUUUCUCUUAUAUAUCGUGGUAUAUGACUAACACAAAAUAAACAAGUUGACAAAUUCUACAAAAAAUAUCAAAGAUGAUAAUAGUUUAAUUAAAAUUUUUAAAUUAAAAAAGUAAGGGAUUAAAUUUAUAACUUUUAAAGUAUAAUGAAUGAAAUUAUUGAAAUACAAGAACUAACAACAUAUUUUAAAAAUAUUACUAGUAAAUUAUAUAUCUACAACAAGAAUUGUAACCUCUUAUAUUAUAUUCUUGUAUUUAUUUUUGCAUCUUUCAUAAUAUGAUUUAUUAAUUUUAAUAUUUUUAUAGAAUAAUAUGCUUUAAAUAGUUUUUUGUAUCAUUUAUAAAAAUUAUAAUAAACUUACAAAAUAAUUUAAUGAUAUUUAAUUAUUAAUCGAAAAAAAUGAUAUCAUAUAUAUUAUGUAUAUAUUAAGAUUCCAAAUCAUUAAUUAUAUAUCUACGCAUUAUAAUAAAUUCAUCUUUCAAAAUUUUCCUUAUAAUUAAAGCAUAAAUUAUAUUUAUAAUAAUAUAAAUAUAUUCUAUCAUAAAUAUUCUUUCAAAUAUUUUUUAAUGUUUAAUAAUAAGUUAAUUUAUAAAAUAUUCUUUCAGUAAAUUAACGUGAUGAGAUCGUUAGGUGCUUGGAUUUGGUGAAGGGGGAUGAAGAGAAAAGGGAUGGAAGUGAAUAAAAAUGUUGAGAAAUGGAAAGGGUUAGCGAGGGAAGCCGCCAUGAAAGGUGGUUCAAUGGAUAUGAACCUUCAAGCUUUUGUGGAUGAUGUUACUCAAGGUUGUUGCAAGUAAAUUUAAAAAUGUUUUUAAAUUAUUUUUUUGUUAAAAAAACAUUUUUUACUUUUUUAUGUGGCAUGCCACAUUAUCAUACUAUCAUGUGACAAUUUCUGGUGAUUUCUGUCCGCAACAUUAGUCAAAUCAACUGUUAAAUCGUUCAACUCACAGUUUUUGUUAAAUGAAGAGGUUAAUUGAUUUUUUUUUGGAAUCAUUGAGUACUCAAUUGGUGCACUUUUUUCAUAAAGGCUAAAUUAAUUUUUUAAUUUGUUAUUGUUGAAGGCUAUAGCAAUAAAAAAAAUUGAGGUAAAAAAAUAUUAGAGCUAAAUUUGUCAUUAUGCCUAAAAUGUAAAACCAAAUUUUUUUGAAAAUGAAAAAAAAUGGAAAAUCGCAAAUUCCGUCGCAUAUUUUUGCUUAAAAUUAUAGUUUUGGUCACCAAUCUUUUGAAGUAAAUAUAGGUCACCAAUAUUAUCAAUUUGUUACUUUGUAAUAACUCACCUUAAGUUAUACCCCGACGCACGAAAGGAUUAAAUGACAUUGGGAUACCAUCAAACUUGUAUCUUAAAUACACAUUUACCCCUAAUUUUAUCACAUUCUUCUUAAUUGGUAUUUAUGGUUUAGAAAAUUUUACAAAUAUAUUAUUUUUUAAGAAAUUAUAAGAAGAUUACAAAAAUUCCAAAAUAAUAUAAAAAAGCUAAGGAAAACCUAGAAAUUCAAAAAAAAAAACGUGGACAUUGAAUUUGCUGUUUCACAUUAAAUUUUUGGAGAAGUAGAAUUUUCUAACUUAUUUUCCAUCAACUUCACUUCAAUUUUCAAUCACAAUCUAUUGCAUUCAAGAGCACCACAUCUUUUGGGAUGAAACAAACCUCUCAAUUUUAAGAUAAACGGAAUCUAUUGCAUUCAAGAGCACCACGUCUUUUUGGAUGAAACAAAGCUCUCAAUUUUAGGAUAAACGGGUCUUUAGGGUUAUAAAUUGAGGUCCUUUUCCACAAUUGCGGGUGAUUCGUUGAUAAUAACCUCAACAUUUCUGUAUCACAUUUAAUUCAAUUCCACAUUCAAUUUUUAGUUUUUAGAGAGAUGAUUGGGUUACAACAAUGGUUUGAAGUGAAGAUAUUUCAAAACAAGAUGAAUACUCUACCAAUAGUCAUAAUUUAAAAUGCAGGUUAUGUUUCAUUUCAGCUAAGUUAAAUGUUAAGAUUGAGGUUAAACCUUUUAGAGGUUGCUCGCAAAAGGAUCAAACCUUUAUAAAAUUGUUUAAAUGAAGGUCAAACCUCUUAAAAUAGACAAAUAAGGGCCUAACCUUUUAAAAGGUGUUCAAAUAAGGGUUUCUCAAAUUUUGUAUAUCAGGUUAUGUAUUUUACUCUAAACACAUCGACAUUUACCUAUUUUUUCUAUAAAUUGGGUUGAAGUGCAUGAAAAAACCUUAUUUAAGCACUUCUGUAAAGGUUAAACUCUUAUUUGACUAUUUUGAAAGGUUUGAUCCUUAUAUAAGCAACCUCUAAAAGAUUGAGUACUAAUUUGACAAGAUUGAGAAAUACCUAAAUUUGUUUUCAUGAAUCAAGAAAAUAAAAAAGAAAUGUUGAGAAAUAUUUUAGAGAUUCUUAGCUUUGACAAGUUCCCUCCAUCAUCUUCCUGCCUCCAGUCCCACCUCUUCUCUUAUGCUCCUCCCAGCUUCUUGCUUUUUGUGUGUUGAAAUUUCAAAGGAACAAAAUAUCAACCUACAUCAUAAGGCACGAUUGCCAGAACUUUACUUUCUAGCCUGUCGAUCCGAUCCAAUGAAAGAAGAACAAAGAGUCUCAAGAUCUGUCAACUUUAUUUCAUUUUCAUUUUCUUUGUCAUUUUCUAUGUUUCAUGUCGAAUACAAUGAAAGAACAUAGAAAAAUGUUGCCUAUUUAUUUCCCAAUCAUCAUGAAAUUACUUGCCAUAGACUUAGAAUUUUCUCACCAAUUUUCAAGCAAUCUGACAUGAUUUCUCAAUCACAAUUAAUUGAAUUCAAGAUCUUUUUAGAUGACACAAACAUUUCAAUUUUAACACAAACCAAUAUUUAGGUUGUACUUCAGUGCUUGACAAGCACUUUCACAUUUGUGGGAUAAGAACUCUUAACAUUUUAGGAUCACAUUUAAUUCAAUUGCAUUUAAGACCUCACGAUUUUAUUCUAUAAUUUCAGUCUUAUCAGCCUUUUCGGAAACAAUAAAACGUCGACAUUAAAUUUGUUGUUGAUGCAUUCAAUUUUUUGAGGGGUCUUUGGAGUUAUAUGUGACUUUAGCAUUGACUGACUUUUUUAUAAUUAAUCUUUUAUAAUAUAUCAAUUUUAAUAACAUCGACAUGUUUUUUAGUAGGGUCUAGCAAAACCCAAUUAAAACCGAUGAUAUUGGCUUAGUUGACUCGGUCAAGUCCAUUAGAUUGAUAAAAUCAAUUUUAAAAUCAGUUAUAAUGGAUUAAGGUAAUUAAUUAUCGAGUAAUGAAAUACAUAAUCAAAUCAAUUGAUUUUGUUAGAAACUAAAAGAAAAUGAGAUAAGCUGAAAACUGAUUGCCCUUUAUUAAAAUUAACGAAUCCGCCCUUUACGUAUUAGAUAAUACGAACAUCACAUAUAUAAUAAGAAAAAUUACGUAUGAUUAUUUAUUAUCAUAAAAGGUUAGUUUAAAUUUAAAGUAAUCUAAUAUGUUUAUUGAACUUCAACUAUUAAAUAAAGUAUAAGCUAAAUAAGUAUAAAUAUUCUAGAAACCAUUUCUAACUGAUGAUAGGCUAAUUCGAUUAAUUUAUAAAAACUACAUAGUAGGGUUAUAGUCCUCAAACUACACCUAAUUUAAUAAUAUUUAUAGUUUUUUUUUUAGCCUUAAACAUUUAUAGUUUUUUGUUAAUUUGGUCCUUACUCUUUAAAAUUACAUAAAAAUUGCAAAAAAAAUUAAAAUUAAUUUUUUUUCAUAAUUUUAAUAACAUUUAUAGUUUUUUUUUUGUGUGUGGUUUGGUAACUUAUCAACUCGACUCUCACUUGUAACCAACUUUUCUAACCUUUUUCGUACCCUUAACCUAAGUCCCGUUACAACUUUCUAAAGACCUCUUUAUCAGUGUAUCAUGUCGGUUUGUUUUAUAAUGGUGGAGAUUUGUUUUUUGUAGUGGCACGAUUGCCAGAACUUUACUUUCUAGCCUAUCGAUCCGAUCCAAUGAAAGAAGAACAAAGAGUCUUAAGAUCUGUCAACUUUAUUUCAUUUUCAUUUUCUUUGUCAUUUUCUAUGUUUCUUGUCAAAUACAAUGAAAAAAGAACAUAGAAAAAUGUUGCAUAUUUAUUUCCCAUUCAUCACUCUAACAGGCCCAAUUAGCCCAGGCCCAAACAUUAAUAAAAUGUCUAGAUUACAAAAUAAUCAACUAAAAAUUAAAAGCUCAAAAAAUAAAAUAAAACCCAUUAUAUUAACCCAAAACCCCAGCCCAAUUACAUUGAAACCCAAAAAAAAAAUAGUUUUCAGAAACCCCUAGGGUUUCAGAAGCCCCUCAAUGUUAUUUUGUAUAUCUAUUUAUCUUUUUAAAUUUUCGAUAUUGUCUUGUUUUGUUUUUGUAUUAUUGUUGUUACCAUCAUUAUUCAUUAUUAUUAUUGUUGAUUUUAUUGUUCUUUGAUUAAUGUUAAUGUUAGAGUAAUAGAUGUUAUGUGAUCAUUGUUAUUAUAUGUUAUAAUUUGUUUACACUCGUAUUGUAGUCAUUUGUCAGCUUAAUAUUUUGAGUAAUAUUUUAAAUAUUACAUUAAUUUCGACCCAAAUGCAUAAUUUUUUAAUAAGUAAUAUUUUAUAUUUUGAAAUUUGAGAGAUCAUUCCCUAACUUACGGGGUCUCAAUUUUUUCGAUAAAUCUGAAUAUACUAACUAUUUUCAAAAAAUAUGUUUUAAAAUUAUCUCGGGAAUUUAAAAAGGAGCGUGUUCUAACUUACUGAAUAUGAUCUUUUUUUUAAAAUCGAGAUAAUCAAAUAACUUUCAAAUAAAUAAAUUUUCAAUGUUUAUUCUCAUAUCAGGAUUUAAAAUAUUAUAUCCUAACUCACGGGAUACAAUUCUUUUUCUCGAUUAACAUGAAAUAUGCCCGUUUUAAUUUUAUUUUUUAAGUGAUUUUAACAAAAGGAUUGUAUUUUAAAUCUCUUCAAAAUUUUCAAUUUUUCGACAUUGAGACAUUAACUAAUCAAUUAGGUACCAAUUUUGGGCGUUACGAGGGUGCUAACCCUUCCUCAUACGUAACCGACUCCCGAACCUAUUUUUCUGAAUAUUGAAGGCCAAAAUUGUUUUAAUAAAUUAAACCCUUAAGACGUGACCCCAUCACACCUCAUAAAAAUUAUCGGUGGCGACUCUCGUUUGCGUUUUUGUUUUCGUUUUCAAAAUAAAAGUCGACCCCUUGUUUUAAAAAAGGUGGUUCGAUAGCUUGGCGACUCCGUUGGGGAAAAAAAUAAGAGAGUCAAGCCACGAGUUGAUUAUUUCUUAUUUUUUGUCAGAAAUUGUGAAUUCGAUUUAAAUUUACGAUCUUUUCAUUGCAUUUUAUGGUCUGCAUCAUUUUGAUAUGCUUGCUUUACUGGUUCGAGUCUUUUAAUCUCCGCAUAUUGCAUUGCAUAACCGUUCGGUUAUACCCUUUUAAGUGGGAGUGAGAAACUAUUCAUUUGUGAGAUUUUUACCUCCGUAUAGGAUAGUGGAUUACUUUCGGGAUACAUCCGUACCUAUGUCUUCGUGAGAUUUUCAUCUCCGUAUAGUUAUAGGGAAAUGUAUUCCCCUGAACUGAACUCAGUCCGUAUGAGCCUAUAAUAGGUAAGGAUUGAGGAAUCUGCUGGUUCAGGUACCCUUUCUUUAGAACUAAACUGCAUGUAGUGAGCCCUAAGAGCAUACCGUAGGUAGAACCACUCCAAACCCCUAGUGGUCACCCAAAUAGGUGCUCUAUUUAUUUUUGCUUGCUUAUUUUUGCAUUGUACUAACCUAUUUUUUUGUUAUGAUUGCAUUGCAUUUUCAUCAUAAAAAAGAUGUGUUGAUUCACGUUCAAUUGCUAAAUAGAGAGCUUGUCAUGGAAAACGGAUUUCUUGAUAAAGUGGAAGACAAUGUGGUUAUCCGGAUAUGGUCCAAGAAAAUUUGACGAAAGAAGGGUGAUAGUCUAAUGGAGGACUACACGACCUUGCUUUAUUGCCCGAGGAUUCAAGUUGACAAAGAUUAUUUGAGAGUCCUCAAUGUCCCGACCUUUUUCAAGAAGCUAACGAGUGUCACGAGGAUGAGUGAGUAAUGAGUUGCGGCCCGGAUCAAGCAAAAAAGAGAUAGAGGAGACACCCUUUUUGAAGAGUUCGCGAGAUUUAUAUUAAUAUCAAAAUGAAGAAAAAGAUCAAUGUCUUCGCCUGGAGUAUGAAAGCAAAGCUGUAUAUAUAUCCGCUUUAUGUAAAUAAAUUUGUUUUCUAGUAAAGUUUUUCUAAUAGAAUUGAAUCAGAAUCAAUGUCUUUUUUUGCAUUCAUUCCAUUCAUCUGCAUUGCAUUUCAUUGCAUCCAAAAUUUCACAAAAGGACCCUAAUUAAUUGAAAUUGUUAUAGUUACUCUGAAAACUAAUAAAAAUCUACCAAUUAAAUAUUCCUACGGUACCCGUCGCAAAACCAAAGUAAUGGAUCAAAUAUUAGAAAGAUUAGAACAAAUUCUGAAAGACAAGCAUAAUCGUUUUUGCUUAGGGUACAAGCCAGAUACAAGACAAAGAAGGAAGGAGUUAGAGAAGAAAUAGGAAAGAAUGACAGCAUAUUUGAGCGAGGAUGAGGUCAAAUGGGAGCCUAUGAACUUUCCCUACAUAUCCAAAACUUUUGUAUCGGGAGGGAUUAUUCAUCCCGAGCGAAGAAUGCCAAGAGAAGAAAAUAUUGAAGAAAUGUUGGGAAACGUUCACAUCAAUGCCAUAUACGAAGAAGUAGUUGAAGGAUGGACCUUGUUAGAUAUCCGACCUUAUGAACCUGGGAGUGUGCUAAACAAUUGGACUACAGAAGAAAUUCCUGUAGUGUUUAGACCUUACUCAGAGUAAUAUUCAAAACACACUUGUUGCUUUUAGCCUAGAAGUGAUAAGAAUCCCUCUGUGAAAUAGGCUCAUGUAUAAACAUCAUUAUUUUAAUAAAGUAAAUCUUUGCAUUCAUUUUGAGCAAAUAUUCUUUUAUUCUUUCCAUACGAGUAAUUAUUUUAGAUUUUUCAUUAUUUUAGGAUUUUCUUCCAAAAAUCAUUCUUUUAUUACAUUCAUAAUCAUACUGUACAAAUAAUUAUUCUUAAAUUCAUUCAUUCUUUGUAUAUUCUUUUGUACCUAUAAUAGGUCCCUAGAUAUCAACGACAUGAGUGACGCUGCUACAGACUUAGAAUUUCCUUUUAAACAAGACAUGUGUUUAGAGGGAUCCCAUGACUUUGAAGAUGACGUAGACUGUGGCUUAUCUCCGGACUUGUUAAGGAUGGUAAAACAAGAGGAGAAGCAAAUCCUACUUCACAAUGAAUCAAUGGAAAUUGUGAGCUUAGAAGGGGAAAAUAGGUGAAGAUUGGGACUGACAUUGCCACAAAUACGAAGUAAGACCUCAUUGAGUUACUCUAAGAAUUCAAAGAUAUUUUUGCAUGGUCAUACUAGGAUACGCUCGGGUUAAGUACUGACAUUGUAGUACACUGCCUUCCUAUAAAAGAAGAUUGCUAGCCAGUUCAGCAGAAACUCCAGAGGAUGAGGCCUGAUAUUGUGCUAAAAAUAAAAGAAGUCAAAAAGUAAUUUGAUGUUGGGUUCUUACAAGUGGUCAAAUAUUCAGAAUGGGUAGCCAACAUCGUCUCAGUUCCUAAAAAAAAUGGGAAAGUACGAAUGUGCAUGGAUUACAGAGACUUGAACAAGGCCAGUCGAAAAGACAAUUCCCUAUUGCCUCACGUUGACACUUUGGUGGAUAAUACAGUAGGCUACUCACUUUUUUCCUUCAUGGAUGGCUUCUCUGGAUACAAUCAGAUAAAGAUGCAUCCAAAAACAUGGGAAAGAUUACAUUCGUGACCCUGUAGGAAACGUUUUACUAUAAAGUGAUGACAUUCAGAUUAAAGAAUAUGGGAGCGACGUAUCAAAGGGUGAUGGUAACCUUGUUUCAUGACAUGAUUUACAAGGAAAUCGAGGUUUAUAUUGACGAUAUGAUUGCAAAAUCUAGAACAGAAGAGGAACAUGUGCAGGUCCUGAGAAAAUUAUUCUUAAGACUGAGAAAGUUCUAGCUCAAGCUUUCCAACGAAAUGCACUUUCGGAGCUAGGUCAGGAAAGCUAUUAGGCUUCAUAGUCAGUGAAAAAGGAAUCGAGAUCAACCCAGACAAAGUCAAGGUAAUAAGAGAUUUACCUCCACUAUGCACUCAGAAGAAAGUUCGAGGUUUCCUAGGAAGACUAAAUUACAUUGCUCGGUUUAUUUCACAACUAACCGAAAAAUGUGACCCCAUAUUUCAUCUUUUAAAGAAACAUAAUCCAGAUGUAUAGGAUGAAGAAUGUCAGGAAGUUUUUGAUAGGAUAAAGCAGUACCUAUCAAAUACUCUAGUGCUGUUACCACCUAGCCCAGAUAGGCCACUGAUAUUGUAUUUAACAGUGUUUGAUAAUUUUAUGGGAUGCAUGCUAGGCCAACAUGAUGAGACAGGAAGGAAAGAAAGGGUUAUAUACUAUCUCAGUAAGAAAUUCACUGAUUAUGAAAUAAGAUACUCGUCUAUUGAGAAAUUAUGUUGUGCCUUGAUCUGGAUAACUCGGAGGCUAAGGCGGUACAUGUUGUACCAUACGACUUGACUAAUUUCAAAGUUAGACCCUUUAAAGUAUAUGAUGGAGUCAACUACUUUGAAUGGGAGGAUGGCCAGAUGGCAGAUUUUACUUUUUGAAUUUGACAUACUUUAUGUGAGCCAGAAGGCUAUAAAAUGGAGUGCAAUAGCGGAUUUUCUAGCUAGCAGAGCCUUGGAGGAUUAUGAGCCUUUAAAUUUUGAUUUUUUGAACGAGGACUUAAUGUAUGUGGCAACCACUAAAGAAAAUGCUCAAGUGGAUCGCAUUUGGAAGCUAAAAUUUGACGGAGCCUCAAAUGCUAUGGGUAAUAAAAUUGAGGCAGUCUUAGUAUCCCCGAGCAGAGAUCAUUAUCCUAUUGCUGGCAAAUUGGAUUUUGAUUGUACAAACAAUAUAGCAGAAAAUGAAGCGUGUAUUAUGGGCAUCCGUAUAGCCAAAGAAUGUAAAAUCAAAGUGCUAAAGGUAUAUGGGGAUUCUGCAUUGGUGAUAUAUCAGCUCAAAGGAGGAUGAGAGAUAAGAGACCUCAAAUUGAUUAAUUAUCGAAAGUUUAUUCUCGAAUUGAUUGAUGAGUUUGAUGAUAUUACUUUCUCCUAUCUCCCACUAGAUGAAAACCAGAUGGCUGACACGUUGGCUACUCUAGCUUUCAUGAUCAAAGUAAACAAACUAGAAGACAUGAAGCCUAUCCAGAUGAGCAUUUAUGAGACUUUGGCUCAUUGCUACAGUAUCGAGGAAGAGGAAAAGGAUGAUCAUCCUUGGUACCAAGAUAUACUGCAAUAUGUAAAGAAUCACGAGUACCCUGAUCAGGCAACGAAGAAUGAUAAGAGGACAUUGAGAAGACUAGCCACUAACUAUGUCUUACAUGGAGAGAUUUUAUACAAAAAGGGAAAGGAUCGGGUACUACUAAGAUGCUGGAUGCUAUAAAAGCUUAGAAAAUCUUGGAGGAAGUCCAUGAAGGUAUCUGCAAAAUGCAUGCCAACGGUUUCACAAUAGUAAGACAGAUUAUGAGAUUCGGGUACUACUGGUCGACCAUGGAAGGAGAUUGCAUCAAUUAUGCCAAGAAGUGCCAUAAAUGUCAAAUUUAUAGAGACAAAAUACACGCACGUUCUUCACCUCUCAACGUUAUGACUUCUCUAUGGCCUUUCUCUAUGUGGGAUAUGGAUGUCAUCGGGCCAAUAUUGCCAAAGGCUUCUAAUAGGUAUCGUUUCAUCUUCAUGGUCAUUGGUUACUUCACUAAAUAGAUGGAAGCUGAUUCAUAUGCUAAUGUCACGAAGUCAGGAGUCAGCAAGUUCUUGAAAAGGGAGAUCAUAUGUUGAUAUAUAAUGCCUGAAAGAAUCAUAUCUGACAAUACAUUGAAUUCGAAAAAUAGCAAAAUAGCGGAGGUCUGCAAUCAAUUCAAGAUCAAACACCAUAAUUCGUCACCAUAUCGCCCAAAAAUGAACGGAGCAGUGGAGGCGGCCAACUAAAAUACCAAGAAAAUUGUGGGGAAAAUGUCUGAGACUUACAAAGAUUGGCAUGAAAAAUUACCAUUUGCCCUCUUUGUUUAUCGAACAUCAAUCAGGACUUUCGUCGGGGCAACGCCUUUCUCUCUAGUUUAUAAGAUGGAGGCAGUUUUACCCAUUAAAGUUGAAAUCCCUUCUCUCUGGGUAUUGGCUGAGCUAAAGUUGGAUGAAGCUGAAUAGAUCCAACCUCGAUAUGAUCAGUUGAACCUAAUAGAAAGAAAAAGGCUAAAAGUUAUUCACCACGGUCAGAUGUACCAAAAACGAAUGAUGCGAGCCUACAACAAAAAAGUUCAUCCCAAAGAAUUCUAUGAGGGGGACCUAGUGUUGAAAAAGAUUUUUCCUCUACAAAAGAAUUUUAGAGGAAAAUGGAUGCCAAAUUAGGAAAGACCUUAUGUUGUAAUAAAGGCCUUUUCUGGAGGAGCAUUGAUUUUGAGUGAGAUGGAUGGUAAAAAUUUUCCUAAUCUUGUAAACUCAGAUUCAUUCAAGAAAUACUUCACCUAAAGAAGGAGAAGGGACCAAUGUGAAAACCUGCAAAGGGCACUUUGAGUCUUAAAAAAAAGAGACCAAGGUGAAAACCGCAAAUGGUGUCUUAAGUCCUAAAAAAAAGAGGCCAAGGUGAAAACUAGCAAAGGGCGCCUUGAGACCAAAGGGGAUUUGAGUUGAAAACCCGAAAAGAGCGACUCAAAUAUUGAUUAAAAUGGGGCAUGCAGUGAUCUUGCUAUACUUGAAUUAAUAGGAAAGGGGUAUACGACAUCUUGGGGCAUCGACAAAGUACUAUAGAUCUCCUAAACACAUUUCAAACUCAAAAUGGUCUUUAGGAAGUUUGUACAGAGAAAUUCAAGCUGCGAUGUCUAGGGCACCUAGUCUUCAUACUAUUUAUAUUAAAUUUGCUAUUCUUGGAAUACUUUAUUCUUUUCAAGAUACGUGUUCCCAAUCAAUUCCCUUUUUAUUCUUCUUUAUCCUUGAUAAUUUAUUCAUUUCGAGCUAUGCUCCAAAUCAAUUCUAUUCUUAUCCAUUGUUAUUAUCUUUUGCAAGCAUGUUGUAUUGGAAUAAUGAUUAAUAGACUAAUAAUACUUUUACAAAUAAAGUGCUGUAUAUUACUCUAAAAGUUUCUAAAUAAUACAAGAACCUAAAACAGGACUAUUGUUUAGAACGCACCGGGUUUAAAGGUUAGAAAUAUCUGAGAAGGAAGAGUCCAAAUUAAGACUAUCCCUUCGAAUUUUGUUGUCAAAAUAUUGAUUGAACAAAACGACAAGAUAUCGUAUUGGUGAACAAACGAGCAAUGAUCACCAGGUAAUAAAAAGAGGUUAUUUUGGAAAAAAAAUUACAUUGGUACGACACCUUAGGAAUGGUGUAAGAGACCAAAGAGGUUCACAUCUUGUAUUCUUGAAUUGCAAUAGGAGAGGAUUGAGAAAGAGCUAGAUAUUAUACUCCUGAAUUAUAAUGGAAGGGAAAUGGUACAAAUUUUAUGUACCAAAAGUACAGUGGAUUGAACCUUGAAGAUUACAGUAGGGGAAAUCUGAUUAAGUAAAAUAUGAAGUGUUUCUUUGGAGAUACCAGUCGAACAAGAUGGCAUUAUGACGUGUCGGUGAUAGAGCCUUAAUGAAUAAUGAGCAAUAACAACUCAAGCAUUAAGGGAUCAUUUUCAUAACAUUCUGUAUUCAUUCAUACACAUCUAGUUAGGAGAUUUUGAUUCAUUCCGAUCAUAACAUCCAAAUCACUAGACAUAAAUAGGCCCAUGAAAUGGAUUCUACAGGUCAUGUUCCCCAUAGAACAGAUGGGUGAAACCACAAAUCCUAUACCGCUGAAGUUGCAGUGGGAUGGAUUGAAGUCAUUAUGGCGAGUCUUAUCUCCCUGAAGUUGCAAUGGAGCAUAUUAAAGCUAGUAAUCUUAUCUCCCUGAAGUUGCAGUAGAGCGGAUUGAAGUUACAAGUCUUAUCCCCCUAAAGUUACAGUGGAGCAGACUGAAGAUAGUGAAUCUUAUUUCCCUGAAGCUGCAGUGGAACAAAUUGAAGCUAUAAAUUGUAGAUUUUAUCUCUCUAAAGUUGCAAUAGAGAAGAUCAUAUCAAACUUUAUCUCCCUGAAGUUGUAGUGGAACAGGUUGAAAAUACCAAUCUUAUCUCCCUGAAGUUACAGUGGAGUAGACUGAAGAUAGCGAAUCUUAUUUCUCUGAAGUUGCAGUGGAACGGAUUGAAGCUAUAAAUUACAGAUCUUAUCUCUCAGAAGUUGCAGUAAAGCAGAUCAUAGAAAACCUUAUCUCCCUGAACUUGCAGUGGAGUAGGUUGAAGUUAUAAGUCUUAUCUCCCUAAAGUUGCAGUGGAGCAGACUGAAGAUAGCGAAUCUUAUUNNNNNNNNNNNNNNNNNNNNNNNNNNNNNNNNNNNNNNNNNNNNNNNNNNNNNNNNNNNNNNNNNNNNNNNNNNNNNNNNNNNNNNNNNNNNNNNNNNNNNNNNNNNNNNNNNNNNNNNNNNNNNNNNNNNNNNNNNNNNNNNNNNNNNNNNNNNNNNNNNNNNNNNNNNNNNNNNNNNNNNNNNNNNNNNNNNNNNNNNNNNNNNNNNNNNNNNNNNNNNNNNNNNNNNNNNNNNNNNNNNNNNNNNNNNNNNNNNNNNNNNNNNNNNNNNNNNNNNNNNNNNNNNNNNNNNNNNNNNNNNNNNNNNNNNNNNNNNNNNNNNNNNNNNNNNNNNNNNNNNNNNNNNNNNNNNNNNNNNNNNNNNNNNNNNNNNNNNNNNNNNNNNNNNNNNNNNNNNNNNNNNNNNNNNNNNNNNNNNNNNNNNNNNNNNNNNNNNNNNNNNNNNNNNNNNNNNNNNNNNNNNNNNNNNNNNNNNNNNNNNNNNNNNNNNNNNNNNNNNUCAAAGGAACAAAAUAUCACCUACAUCAUAAGGCACGAUCGCCAGAACUUUACUUUCUAGCCUGUCGAUCCGAUCCAAUCCAAUGAAAGAACACAAGGAGUCUUAAGAUCUGUCAACUUUAUUUCAUUUUCAUUUCUUUGUCAUUUUCUAUGUUUCAUGUCGAAUACAAUAAAGAGAACAUAGAAAAAUGUGGCCUAUUUAUUUCCCAAUCAUCAUGAAAUUACUUGCCAUUGACUUAGAUUUUCUCACCAAUUUCAAGCAAUCUGACAUGAUUUCUCAUCACAAUUAAUUGAAUUCAAGAUCUUUUUAGAUGACACAAACAUUUCAUUUUAACACAAACCAAUAUUUCGGUUAUACUUCAGUGCUUGACAAGCACUUUCACAUUUGUGGAUAAGAACUCUUAACAUUUUAGGAUCACAUUUAAUUCAAUUGCAUUUAAGACCUCAUGGUUUUAUUCUAUAAUUUCAGUCUUAUCAGCCUUUUCGGAAACAAUAAAACGUCGACAUUAAAUUUGUUGUUGAUGCAUUCAAUUUUUUGGGUCUUUGGAGUUAUGUGACUUUAGCAUUGACUGACUUUUUUAUAAUUUAAUAAUAAGGUAAAUAUAUUAAUUUUAAUAACAUCGACAUGUUUUUUAGUAGGGUCGAGCAAAACCCAAUUAAAAUCGAUGAUAUUGGCUUAGUUGACUCGGUCAAGUCCAUUAGAUUGAUAAAAUCAUUUUUAAAAUCAGUUAUAAUGGAUAAAGGUAAUUAAUUAUCGAGUAAUGAAAUACAUAAUCAAAUCAAUUGAUUUUGUUAGAAACUAAAAGAAAAAGGGCUAAGCUGAAAAUUGAUUGCCCUUUAUUAAAAUUAACGAAUCUGUCUUUUACGUAUUAGAUAAUAUGAACAUCGCAUAUAUAAUAAGAAAAUUACGUAUGAUUAUUUAUUAUCAUAAAAGGUUAGUUUAAAUUUAAAGUAAUCUAAUAUGUUUAUUGAACUUCAACUAUUAAAUAAAGUAUAAGCUAAAUAAGUAUAAAUAUUCUAGAAACCAUUUCUAACUGAUGAUAGGCUAAUUCGAUUAAUUUAUAAAAACUAGAUAGUAGGGUUAUAGUCCUCAAACUACACCUAAUUUAAUAACAUUUAUAUUUUUUUUAGCCUUAAACAUUUAUAGUUUUGUUAAUUUGGUCCUUACUCUUUAAAAUUACAUAAAAAAUUGCAAAAAAAUUAAAAAUUAAUUUUUAUCAUGAUUUAAUAACAUUUAUAUUUUUUUUUGUGGUUUGGUAACUUAUCAACUUGACUCUUACUUGUAACCAACUUUUCUAACCUUUUUCGUACCCUUAACCUAAGUCCCGUUACAAUUUCUAAAGACCUCUUGAUUGGUGUAUCAUCUCGAUUUGUUUUUAUAGUGGUGGAGAUUUGUUUUUUGUAGUGGGCAUGAUUGCCAGAACUUUACUUUCUAUCCUGUCGAUCCGAUCCAAUGAAAGAAUAACAAAGAGGUCUUAAGAUCUGUCAACUUUAUUUCAUUUUCAUUUUCUUUGUCAUUUUCUAUGUUUCUUGUCACAUACAAUGAAAGAAGAACAUAGAAAAAUGUUGCCUAUUUAUUUCCCAAUCAUCAUUCUAACAGGCCGAAUUAGCCCAGGCCCAAACAUUAAUAAAUGUCCAGAUUACAAAAUAACCAACCAAAAAUUAAAAGCCCAAAUAAUAAAAUAAAACCCAUUACAUUAACCCAAAACUCCAGCCCAAUUACAUUGAAGCCAAAAAAAUAGUUUUUAGAAACCCCUAGGGUUUCUGGAACAAUCCGCGCCGCUCCUCCAUCCGCUUCUCCACGCACGCUGCACCUUUCCACGUGCGCCUCCAGCUGGCAGUGUACCUCCAAUGCAACAAACAAAGCAACAAGCAGCAAAAGAAAUGGAAAAACAACAAAAAAAAAAGAAGGAGCAACAAUGUAUAACAGAUUGAUAACAAAUAAUAGAAAAAAUAGCAGUAAAUAGGAAAAAAAAUUAAAAAAUAAUGAGGGUAAUUUCAUUUUUUUCUCUGUUUUGGCUAUAAAGAGAGCCGGUCAAAAUCUCUAAAGGGGGAUUUAGAAUCAAUCAGAAAACAAGUAUUUUGUACCAACAAUUAGAGAAAAAAAAUACAAAAAUAGGGAUUGAAGGUUUUUUUUUUCUUUCGUUUCGAUUUAUUUAAAAUAGCAUAGAAAAUAAAAAGAAGGCUUACCUUGCGACGCCUUCAGAUCCUCUCGAAAAGGGGCUAAAAGGCCCUAUGUGGCACAGAUUUGACCACUGUUCACGGUGGAACCGCAGCGGAGGCGCAGAGGAUUGGCAUCAAUUUAGGCAGGGUUUGAAACCCUAGCAGAGAAAAAAUUAGGGUUGAUAGAUUUUUUUUAAAAAAAUGGCAAAAUGUUGUUUUUAAAAAAUUUUGUUUUAAAAAAAUUGUUGCUUUUAUAAAGGGUGUAAAACGGCGUCGUUUAGGGCAUGUUUCGAUGGCCCCAAAACGGCGCCUUAUAAGGCAACCCCCGACGACCCGACCUGCUCCAUGGGGGAUCCGCGUGGUUUUUGUUAAAUGGGUUAUGUCUAACCCUGGCCCUUCUACUUUUUAUACUUGUUUUAAUUUGAUCCUCUUUUUAUUUAUUUUUAUUUCUUUAAAUUAAGCCUGAUAAUUUUUUUCCAUUACAUUUUAAUCCUUAAUGAAACGGCGCGUUUUAGAGGAGAAGGGAAAAUUACCCUUCUAGUCCCUUCUUGUUAUUCGAGUGUUCAGAAGGGUCCUUUUUUGUUUAUUUUUUAUUUGCCCCAAAAUUUUGUUUUAAAGCUUAAUUUAGUCCUAUUUUGUUAUUUUAGCUAUUUUAUUAUUAGAUUAAUUAAUUUAAUAUUAUUAUUACUGCUAUUAUUUUACCCCUAUUAGUUAUAUAUUUAUUAUUAUAACUAUAUCAUUAAAUCAAUUAGUUUUUACAUUAUUAUUUCCAUUCUGUUUUUUAUUUACUUACUUAAAUACUUUAAAUGCAUUUAUUUUAUUUCUUAUUUUUUUAUGAAAUUUCAAAACUUUAGACUAUUUUUUUGUUACUAUAACCCUAAUUUCAUUCAUUUUAUAAUAGUUUUUUUUUAAAAUAUUUCUUAGAUUAAUUCCCUCGAUGUUAUUUUGUAUAUUUAUUUAUCUUUUUAAAUUUUCGAUAUUGUCUUAUUGUAUUAUUGUUGUUACUAUCAUUAUUCAUUAUUAUUGUUGAUUUUAUUCUUCUUUGAUUAAUGUUUAUGUUAGAGUAAUAGGUGUUAUGUGAUCAUUGUUAUUAUAUGUUAUAAUUUGUUGACACUCGUAUUGUAGUCAUUCGUCAGCUUAAUAUUUGAGUAACAUUUUAAAUAUUACAUUAAUUUUGACCCAAAUGCAUAAUUUUUUAAUAAGUAAUAUUUCGUAUUGUGGAAUUUGAGAGAUCAUUCCCUAACUUACGGGGUCUCGAUUUUUUUGAUAAAUCUGAAUAUAAGAACUAUUUUAAAAAAAUACGUUUUAAAAUUAUCUCGGGAAUUUAAAAAGAAGCGUGUUCUAACUUACGGAAUAUGAUCUUUUUUAAAAAUCGAGAUAAUCAAAUAUCUUUCAAAUAAAUAAACUUUUCGUGUUUAUUCUCGUUUUAGGAUUUAAGAUAUUGUGUCCUAACUCACGGGACACAAUUCUUUUUCUCGAUUAACGUGAAAUACGCCCUUUUUAAUUUUAUCUUUUUAAGUGAUUUUAACAAAAGGAUUGUAUUUUAAAUCUCUUCAAAAUUUUCAAUUUUUCGACAUUGAGACAUUAACUAAUCAAUUAGGUACCAAUUUUGGGCGUUACAAGGGUGUUAACCCUUCCUUGUACAUAACCGACUCCCGAACCUAUUUUUCUGAAUAUUAUAGGCCAAAAUUGUUUUAAUAAAUUAAACCCUUAAGAGGUGACUCGAUCACAGCUCAUAAAAAUUAUCGGUGGCGACCCUUGUUUUAAAAAAGGUGGUUUCAACAGCUUGGCGACUCCGCUGGGGACAAAAAUAAGAGUCAAGCCGCGAGUUGAUUAUUUCUUAUCUUUUUGUCAGAAAUUGUGAAUUCGAUUUAAAUUUAUGAUCUUUUCAUUGCAUUUUAUGGUCUGCAUCAUUUUUAUAUGCUUGCUUUACUACUUCGAGUCUUUUAAUCUUCGCAUAUUGUAUUGCAUAACCGUUCGGUUAUACCCUUUUAAGCGGGAGUGAGAAAUUAUUCUUUCGUGAGGUUUUCACCUUCGUAUAGGAUAGUGGAUUACUUUCAGGAUACAUCCAUACCUAUGUCUUCGUGAGAUUCUCAUCUCCGUAUAGUCAUAGGGAAAUGUAUUCCCCUGAACUGAACUCAGUCCGUAUGAGCCUAUAAUGGGUGAGGAUUGAGGAAUCUGCUGGUUCAGGUACCCUUUCUUUAGAACUAAACCGCAUGUAGUGAGCCCUAAGAGCAUACCCUAGGUAGAACCACUCCAAACCCCUAGUGGUCACCCAAAUAGGUGCUCUAUUUAUUUUUGCUUGCUUGUUUUUGCCUUGUACUAACCUAUUUGUUAUGGUUAUGAGUGCAUUGCAUUUUUAUCAUAAAAAAGAUGUGUUGAUUCACGUUCAGUUGCUAAAUAGAGAGCUUGUCAUGGAAAACGAAUUUCUUGAUAAAGUGGAAGACAAUGCGGUUGUCCGGAUAUGGUCCAAGAAAAUGUGAAGAAAGAAGGGUGAUAGUCUAAUGGAGGACUACACGACCUUGCUUCGUUGCCUGAUGAUUCAAGUUGACAAAGAUUAUUCGAGAGUCUUCAAUGUCCCGACCUUUUUAAAGAAGCUAACGAGCGUCACGAGGAUGAGCGAGUAAUGAGUUGCGGCCCGGAUCAAGCAAAAAAAAGAUAGAGGAGACACCCUUUUUGAAGAGUUCACGAGAUUUAUCUUAACAUCUAGACGAAGAAAAAGAUCAAUCUCUUUGCCUAGAGUAUGAGGGCAAAGCCGUAUAUAUAUCCGCUUUAUGUAAAUAAAUUUGUUUUCUAGUAAAGUUUUUCUAAUAGAAUUGAAUCAGAAUCAACGUCUCUUUUUGCAUUCAUUCCAUUCAUCUGCAUUGCAUUUCAUUGCAUCUAGAAUUUCACAAAAGGACCCUAAUUAAUCGAAAUUGUUAUAGCUACCUUGAAAAACUAACGAAAAUUUACCAAUUAAAUAUUCCUAUGGUACCCAUUGCAAAACUAAAGUAAUGGAUCAAAUAUUAGAAAGAUUAGAACAAAUGCUGAAGGAUAAACAUAACUGCUUUGGCUUAGGGUACAAGCCAGAUACAAGACAAAGAAGAAAUAGGAAAGGAGAACACGUUUGAGCGGGGAUGAGGUCAAAUGGGAGGGAUUAUUCAUCCCAGGCGAAGAAUGCCAAGAGAAGAAAAUAUUGAAAACAUGUUGGGAAACGUUCACAUCAAUGCCAUAUACGAAGAAGCAAUUGAAGGAGUGACCUUGUUAGAUAUCCGCCCUUAUGAACCUAAGAGUGUGCUAAACAAUUGGACUGCAGAAGAAAUUCUUGUAGUGUUUAGAGCUUACUCAUAGUAAUGUUCAGAACACACUUGUUGCUUUUAGCCUAGAAGUGAUAAGAAUCCCUCUGUGAAAUAGGCUCAUGUAUAAAAAUCAUUAUUUUAAUGAAGUACAUCUUUGCAUUCAUUUUGAGCAAAUAUUCUUUUAUUCUUUUCAUACGAGUAAUUAUUUUGGAUUCUUUAAUUCUUUUGGGAUUUUCUUCCAAAAUCAUUCUUUUAUUACAUCCAUAAUCAUACUGUACAAAUAAUGUAAUAGCCUGAAUUUUCAGUGGUGUCGGAAUGGUGAUUCAAGAUCACUAAGUCUGACAAAUGAGUAGAAAAUAUUAUUAAUUUAGUAAGAAUAAGUAAAUGUGAAGUUAGGAAAAUUUUUGAAAUAGUGAAUAGUGUACUAGGAAUAAAUAUUAAAAUAAUUAAAAUAAAAAAUGAGGUAUCGAGACCUCGAAGAUUUUAAACCAAGCCAUAAGUACUUUUAGAAGUAUUUUUAGAGUGUCAUUGAGUUGGUAUUAAAGUUUCGUUAGAAAAUUUUAACGCUCGGAUAGUUAAUUAACCAAAAAGGACUAAAUUGAAAAUAGUGUAAAAUUUGUUAAAUUGUGAUUAAAUAGCUUAAGUGAUUAAAAAGGAGGGAUUUAAAAGGCAAUUAGGCCCAAAUUAUAUGGGCUGGACGGUUGGGUAAGAAAAAUCAGCAGAAUGUAAGGAGAAAACAGGGGCAAAAUUGGAAACUUAACAAAUUAAACAUAUAAAACAAAGACAAAAGUGAAAAAUCUAGAGAUCUGUUCACAAUUUAUCAGCAAAAAUGCCAUAGGAGGUCUGAAAGAAGCUGGUUUUUCAUAUAUUUGAAUCAUGUAAGUUUAAUUCUUGAUUAUUUCUUCUAAUUUUUGUGAUUUUGAUACUUUUACAAUUAGGUCCAACUAAUUAUUUCAUUAGUUUUUGAUUUCAUGGCUGAUUUUGAAAGUUACCAUUGAUGAGUGUUGGAUUUUUAUGAUGAAUAAACAUGGAAUUAAAGCUUUAAUUUUGUUAUAUGAUGAUUUUAUUAAGUAAUUUUGAUAGAAAUUGAUUUUUGGGACCUAAUUGUGAAAAAGUUUGGAAUUAGGGUUUGGUGUUGCGGUUUUGAAUAUGAAAGGCUAUGUAGUAGUCUAAAAUAGUUGGAAAAGGUGUUAAUUGAGAAAAAUUAGAUCAAUUGAGGGGUUAAUUGAGUAGGACCAAAUUGUAAAAACUGUAAAGUUUGAGGUAAAAGUGUAAUUUCGAAAAUUUAAGGGCAUAAAUUGUGAAGUGAAUUAGAAUAGAAUUAUAUGCUGAUGAAUGAAUAAAUUUGUAUUUUAGAUCGAGAACCCGAAGCAAGCCGAGGAAAAGAAAAAGUAGUUGAUUAGUCCCUGAACUUUUACAAAUUCUGCAAAUCGACCCAGGUAAGUUCAUAUGGCUGAAAUUUAAUGAUUAAAUGUUAAUUUCAUGAAUUAUGUAAUGUAUGAUGAAAUGUAUUUAGUGUUGAAAUGAGAGUAAAAUAAAAAUGCGAAAAUCGAAUAAAUGAUCAAAUUAAGCGGAACGCCGGAUUUGAGUACUUCUGAUCAAGAGACAAAGUGAUAAGUGGUAGCUUUAGCUACACUUAUCUGAUCAAGUGAAAAAGUGAUAAGUGCUACACUUAUCUGAUCAAGAGACAAAGUGAUAAGUGGUAGCUUUAGCUCACUUAUCUGAUCAAGUGAAAAAGUGAUAAGUGCUAUACUUAUCUGAUCAAGUGACAAAGUGAUAAGUGGUAGCUUAGCUACACUUAUCUGAUCAGGGCCAAAUGAUAAGUGAUCAUACGUAAGACCAUAGUUAUACUAUGGCCAAGUGAAAGUGAAGUACUCAAUUUUCCGUAACCGUUCCUUAAUUUUGAUCAAGGAUGGUAAGUGACAAAUAGGCCCAAAGAAAUUAUGGUAAAAGAAUAAGUAGUAGUGAGUUUAUACCAAGGAACUCUCCAAAGAUUGUGGUUGACAAGUAAACUUAGUAAUGGUGUAUAUUGUAUAAGUGUACAAAUGUUUGGUAAGAUUUAUGUUUGUGCCUAUGAACUUACUAAGCUUUUCUAUAAGCUUACAUGUGUGUGUUUAUUGUUUUUCUAGAUUAACGUAUUUAUACAUUCGGAGGAUCGGAUCUACUUCGAGAAUCACACUAUCCAGAUAUACUCCGGUAGAUUUUGUUAAACAACUUUUUGGAUUUAUAUGGCAUGUACAGAGAAUUGAAGUAAAAAGUAAUAGAAUGAAUGACUGAGUAUGCAAAGUAAAUUUGAAUGUGAUGGUUGUGUUAGAUAUUGAAAAAUACAUGUUUUUAGUUUGAAAUGGUUGAUUGGCUGAACUUCGUUAGUAUUCAAGUGAAGUAGUUGAAAUACUGGAAUUGGUUGUGAUUUGAAAUUUGCAGGGAAGGUUAGAUAAAUAUAAAGGGGUUAUAUUGAUUUUUUUUUUAAAUUUCAAUGGAAUAAUUUUUGGACAGCAGCAUUGAUGUAACUUUUAAAAAUCACCAAAAAUAGUGGAAAUAGAAUUAGAAGUUGAAUGAGAUAUGAAAUUAAAUCUGAAUGAGUCUAAUUUCACAUGAAAGAAGUAGAAUAAGAAAAAGAGUUAUAUAUUUUUAGAUAUUUGAAUUUUAGUGAAACAGGGCAAGAAUGUUUUUGAAGUCCCCUGUUCUGACUUUAGAAAUUUAGUAAAAAUUGUACAAAAGGAAUUAUGAAUUAUAAUUUAUAUGUUUAAAUUCCGUAAUGAGUAUAUUUUAAGUAGAAAUAAUUGGAACCACCAUAUGAAGUCUUUGCAAUGAGAUAAUUGAAUUUUAGUGACAAGAGGUCAGGAUAGUCAAUUAGUGAAAUAGGGGAGACUUCAACUAAUAAACUGUAUUAAUUUGCUAAACCAAAAAUUCUGAAAAAUUUAUGGUGAAUAUACAUAUGAGUCUAGUUUGAGGGAAAAUUUACGGAUCUAAAUUUUUAGUUUCGUAUCUUGAGUUAUAAUUAUUUUAGUGACUACUGCGCAUGUGGACAGCUUUGUUGUGAAUGGUGAAAUUAAUUUUUAAAGUAAAUUUUUAUGCCCCGAACUUUUAAGUUCAGUCAAGUAACGCCUUAUGCUCGACUCCGGCAACCGUCUUGGGUAAGGGGUGUUAUAAAUAAUUAUUCUUAAAUUCAUACAUUCUUUGUAUAUUAUUUUGUACCUACAAUAGGUCCCUAGAUAUUAACAACAUGAGUGACGUUGCUACAGACUCAGAAUUUCCUUUUAAACAAGACAUGUGUUUAGAGGGAUCCCAUGGCUUUGAAGAUGACGUAGACUGUGGCUUAUCUCUGAAUUUGUUAAGGAUGGUAAAACAAGAGGAGAAGCAAAUCCUACCUCACAAGGAAUCAAUGGAAAUUGUGAGCUUAGAAGGGGGAAAAGAGGUGAAGAUUGAGACUAACAUUGCCACAAAGACAAAGCAUGACCUCGUUGAGUUACUCCAAGAAUUUAAAGAUGUCUUCGCAUGGUCAUACCAGGAUACUCCCGGGUUAAGUACUGGCAUUGUAGUACACUACCUUCUUAUAAAAGAAGAUUGCAAGCCAGUUUAGCAGAAACUCUGAAGGAUGAGGCCUGAUAUUGUGCUAAAAAUAAAAGAAGAAGUUAAAAAGCAAUUUGAUGUUGGGUUCUUACAAGUGGUUAAAUAUUCAGAAUGAGUAGCCAACAUCGUCUCAGUCUCUAAAAAAGAUGGGAAAGUACGAAUGUGCAUAGAUUACAGAGACAUGAACAAGGCCAGCCAAAAAGAAAAUUUCCCAUUGCCUCACAUUGACACUUUGGUGGAUAAUACAGUAGGCUACUCACUGUUUUCCUUCAUGGACGACUUCUCUGGAUACAACCAGAUAAAGAUGCAUCCCAAAAACAUGGGAAAGACUACAUUCGUGACCCUAUGGGGAAUGUUUUGCUAUAAAAUGAUGUCAUUCGGAUUAAAGAAUGUGGGAGCGACGUAUCAAAGGGAAUGGUAACCUUGUUUCAUGACAUGAUGUACAAGUAAAUCGAGGUUUAUGUUGACGAUAUGAUUGCAAAAUCCAGAACAGAAGAGGAACAUGUGUAGGCCCUAAGAAAAUUAUUCUUAAGACUGAGAAAGUUCCAGCUCAAGCUUUCCAACGAAAUGCACAUUCAGAGCUAGGUUAGGAAAGCUGUUAGGCUUCACAGUUAGUGAAAAAGGAAUCGAGAUCAACCCAGAUAAAGUCAAUGCGAUACGAGAUUUACCUCUACCAUGCACUCAGAAGGAAGCUCGAGGUUUCCUAGGAAGACUGAAUUACAUUGCUCGAUACAUUUCACAACUAACCGAAAAAUGUGACACCAUAUUAAAAUAAAAAUAGAUUAAAUUGUAAGUAAAACAUAAUUUAAACAUAUGAAUACAUCAAAUUAAUAAUACUAAAUGAAUACAGUUAUUUAUGAUGAUGUUGUUGCCAAUUCCUAAUUUGGUGUCUAGUUAAUUUGUGACAUCAUAAAUUUAAGUGAUAAAUUUAAGGUUUUAUGUAUUGAUGUGGAUUCAAAUAUCACCAUAAUUUUUGUAAAUAAAAAACUAAUAAGAUAACUUAUAUUAAGUACGAAAGGGUAUUUUUAUAAUUUCUCUAAUCGAGUUGGUGCCCGGUUGACUCAUGACACUAACUCAAUCAGAAGCUUUAAUAAUAAUAUAGAUAUUCAUGUUAAAAAAACAAAAAAAAAGUACUUUAGUUCCAAAUAAUUAUAUAACAAGUAAAUUUAUAAUUGAUGAAUAAAUUUAUAAAUAAUAUAUUUAUAUGAUCUAAUAUAUUAUAUUUAUAUUAAUUAUAUAUCAUCUACAAACUUUGAAGAUCAAUUUAUUAAGUAAAAAUGAAAUUGUUAACACUAAAUCAAUUUUUAGAUUUUGUAUAGAUGAUUUAGUGAUGAUAAAAACAUUAUUAACACUAUUUUUUAAUUAACAAAAAAUUAGUGAUAUAUUUAAAUUAUAUUUAUCAUUUAUUAUUUUUAAUAAUAUUUUUUAAUUAUAUGAAGUAAAAUUAUAUUGUAUACUAAAUAUGGUACAUAUACUCUAAUUAUAACUUGAAAUUUUAUUAUAUAAAUUAAUAUAAAUUUGAAUAACAAAAUAAAAAAAAACUAAUUAGAAUAAUUUUAAAAAACAUUAUUUAAAAGUAGUUAAAAAUCACGUGCAACAGGUGAGAUCAAUGGUCUUUAGAGAAGAAAUGUUGAAGAUCAAAGUUGGAAUCUGGCCUAUAAGGCCUUUAAUUGCUUUAAUAUUAAGCAGUUCCAAACCAAGAAGAUUACCGAUUUCCUCAGGAAUUUGACCUGCACACAUGGUCGAAAAAUCAAUGUGUCAAACUACCUAUUUUGUUAGCAUAAGUCAAAGAGGUUUUCUUUUCUAUUCUACAUAAUUUGCAGAUGUUAGAUUUUAAUAUUUUUAAGCAUAUUUGUUUUCAUCAAAUUAACUAUUUUGAACUAUUUUGCCUUGAAUGAAAUAAAAUGCUCUUACUUUUGUUAUCUAUUACUAAUCAAACUCUUUUAUAAAAAAAAUACUUUAAACUAAAGAAACCAAGAAAAUUCAAUACCUUCUAGGUUAUUCAACCCCAAAUAUAAUUCUUUGAGUCGUGUCGGAUUUCCAAUACUUCUUGGAAUGAUCCCCAUCAAUUGAUUAUAGGAAAAUGACAAAAUUUUAAGGUUGUUGCAUUUGCUUAUACUUGACGGAAUGUUACCAUAUAAUUCAUUCCGACUCAAGUAAAGCCCUUCAAGCUUGGAAAGAUGUGACACAUAUCAUUAGGCAAGCUACCUGAUAGGCUAUUGUUGGAGAGAUCAAUGGCCUUCAGAGAAGAAAUGUUGAAGAUCGAAGUUGGAAUCUGACCUGUAAGGCCUUUAAUUGCUUUAAUAUUAAGCAGUUCCAAACCAAGAAGAUUACCGAUUUCCUCAAGAAUUUGACCUGCACACAUGGUCGAAAAAUCAAUGUGUCAAACUACCUAUUUUGUUAGCAUAAGUCAAAGAGGUUUUCUUUUCUGUUCUAUAGUAAUUUGGUGAUGUUAGAUUUUAAUAUAAUUCAGCACAUGUUUUUCAUCAAAUGAAAUAAAAAGUUUUUCCUUUUGUUAUCUAUUACAAAUCAAGCUCUUUUAUUAAAAAAAUACUUUAAAUUCAAGAAAUCAAGGAAAUUAAUUACCUUCUAAAUUAUUAAACCCCAAAUAUAAUUCCUGGAGUCGUGUUAGAUUUCCAAUACUUCUUGGAAUGAUCCCCAUAAAUUGAUUAUGGGGCAACAACAAAUUUUUAAGGAUGUUUCAUUUGCCUAUGCUUGACGGAAUGUUACCAGAUAACUCAUUGCUAUGCAAGUGAAGCCCUUCAAGCUCGGGAAGAUGUUGACACAUAUCAUUAGGCAAACUACCUAAUAGGCUAUUCCUGGAGAGAGCAAUAGUCUUGAGAGAAAAAUGUUGAAGAUCGAAGUCGGAAUCUGAUCUGUAAGGCCUUUAAUUGCUUGAAUAUUAAGCAUUUCCAAACUAAAAAGAUUACCGAUUUCUUCAGGAAUUUGACCUGCAGACAUAGUCGAAACAUCAAGGUGUUAAAUUUCCUAUUUUGUUAGUGUAAAUCAAAGAGGCUUUUUAUUUUUUUUCGUUAUGAAAUAAUAUGGAUAUGUUCGAUUCUAAUCAUAUUUAAGUAUAUAUUAGUUCUUGAAAGAAUGAGUUCUUAUUUUUGGUAUUUAUAUUGCAAAUAUAUAUUUUUUUAAAUUUAAAAGAAGGGAGGGGGCAAAUGUGUUUAAACUAAAGACAUCAAGGAAAAGGCAUACCAAGUAUAAUUGUUUAAGUUGUGUCAAAUUCCCAAUGCUUUUUGGAAUGAUCCCACUAAAUUGAUUAAUAGACAAUUCCAAAAUUUGAAGGUUGCAGCAUUUGUCUAUACUUGAUGGAAUAGAACUUGAUAAUUCAUUUCUACUCAAGUAAAGCUCUUUCAGCUUGGGAAGAUGGACACACAAAUCAUCGGGCAAGCCACCAGAAAGACUAUUAUCACAAAAAUGAAUCCUUUUCAAAGAAGAAAUGUUAAAGAUGGAAGAUGGAACCUGGCCAGAUAAUUGAUUGAAUCCCAAGUUCAAGAUCUCUAGAUUGGACAAGUUGACAAGUGUUUGAGGGAUCGUGCCUGUGAAGUUAUUAUUUCUCAUUUCCAACCUUUGAACUCUGUGCAAGUUCCCAAGCCAUGGUGGAAUUUCCCCAUUAAGACGGUUGUAGCUUAAUCGAAUGAUCCUCAAACGAUGCAAUUGGCCUAAUUCUUUAGCCAGAUGGCCGUAGAAAUUGUUGUUGCUCAAGUCGAUAGAAAAUAGAAAUGAAAGAUUUCCAAGGUGUGGAGGGAUAGUACCCCUAAGAUUCAUGUUUGUAAGAUUAAUCAAAGCUACAACUCUUUCAUGGAUGAUGCCACAAGAAACACCAACCCACUUACAGACAGAGGUAGAGUUCGUCCAAUUGUUUGCCAACACAUUUUGAGGAUCGACAAUGCGAUCUUUAAACUCAAAGAGUGCAAACUGAUCGGAGUUGAGAUUCCGGACUGUCAUAGCCAAGGAAACAAUAGAACAUUGUAUGAAUAAAAGUGAAAGAAGAUGAAAGCAAGUGUUGUAGUUCAUGAUGGCAAGACGAAAUAAGCCAGGAAAAGGGAAGUUGAAUUGAUGAAGAAAUAGCCAGCCAACAUGCUUAAAUAGGCUUCAACCCUUGCACACUUCUCAUACAUAAAGUUCGCUGCCAUUACAACAAGAAAACUCAUAUCUCCAUUCGUACCUAUCCAUACUUUAUUUGACUAACUUUUCCCUAACAAGUGUUCAGUAAGGAGAUAAAUCAGUUUGGAGCUAUUCACCGGCUUCUCCAAUCUUGGUUUCAAACUCCUAACCCAUCAAUUCACUUUAAUUGAAACGAUAUACACGAGUCUUUCGGCUUAUAUUUUUAAUUUAAUUUUUGUUACUUUUCAUAAUAUUUUUUGAGAAAUCCAAAUAUUCCAGUCUGAAAUUUCUUCAUUGCCACGUCUAUCUCCUGGGUAAGUCCGUGGUUAGGCAGCCCACUUUGGGAGCAGGAUUGUAAUUGUAAUUCUAUCCGACUCAUUUUACUAUUUAGAAAUAUAAAAGUAAUAUUAUAUUAUUUUUUAUAUUUUUAUAAAUUUAAUUUUAAUUAUAAUUUUUAAACAAUAAAACGAGUCAUUUGUAUUUGCCUAGUCUAAAUUGAAUCAGGAGUCAAAAAAAUUUUAAUCAUAAUUUACUAUUAUUUUAAUUAAUUAAAAUUUAACCUACUACAACUAGUAGUUGCAGAAAAAAUGUCAUUCCUUUAGAAAAACGAAAAUCCUUUAGAAAAAUGAGAACUUAUGAAGCAUUCAAUAAGAGUCAUUGGAAUAAAUGGUAACGAAAUCAUAAUUCAAUAUAAAGCUAAAAAAUGUACCAAUCUAUAUAAAUAAUGUAAGAUUUGUGAUACCUAAAUUAUUAUAUUUUCCAUAAAUAUAUGAAGAUAUUUUAUUAGGAAAUAAUUUUAUAUAUAAAAUUUUUUAUUUUCUUUUGAUAGAAAUUUAAUUAUGUUAUCUGUAGAAAAAAAUAUUUAUAGAAAUAUUAUUAGUAGAAAAUCAUAAAUUUGUGUGUGGCAAAAAAAAUUCACCACCAAGAAAGGGGCAAAUUAAACAACUUGAAACAAGUCAUUGGUUGUUUAAAAUAUUAGAUAAUAAUUUCAGUGAAGAAUCAUUAAAAUUAUGACAAAAUAACCCUAGAUAUUGUAGUAUUAAAUUGGAAAAUCUCAAUAAUAUUAUUAGAGUAAAACCUAUGAUCUAUCUAAACAAGAUAUAGAAGAUUUUGAUAUACAAAUUAAGGUUAGAAAUCAUGCGGAAAUAAAAAAGAAAAAAAAGCUAGUAUGGUCAUUAAUUAUAAAAGAUUAAAUCAAAAUAUUAUUUUUUUAUAGUUACUUGAAUUAAUCAGGCUAAACAAACAAAAUAUUUUAGUAAAUUUGACUGCAAAUCAGGAUUCUAGCAAAUCAUGAUAACAGAAAAGUCCAAACCUUUAACGGCUUUUAGUGCACCCAAUGGACAUUACCAAUGGAAAGUGAUGUCAUUUCAAUUAUGUGAUGCACCACAAAUCUUCCAAAGACGAAUGGAUUUUAUAUUUAAUAAAUAUAAAAAAAUUCUAUGUAGUCUACAUAGAUGAUAUUUUUUAUAUUUUUAGAUACACUAGAAUUACAUAAGAAACAUUUAAAUAUUAUUUCUUAAGAAUUCAUAAAAUAUAGAAUCAUAUUAAACCCUAAAAAUAUAGAGUUAGAAAAAAGAGAGAGAAUUUUUAUAAUAGUGGAAAUAAAAAAUUGUCCUCAAAAGAUUGAAGAAAAAAAGAACUUCCAACAAUUUCUAAUAUAUUCCUCCCAAAUUUUCAGUUUCAAUUUUAUUACAGAAUUUCUUUGCCGACAAUAAGAAAUUAAGAGCGCUCUUUAAGUUGAAUAUAGUCCGUCAGAUAUGGCUAUCUAUAACAUGGAACCUUUGGUUUUCAAGCUGAAUAGGAGAAUUGAUUCACUUGAUAAGUAUGAAAAAUUGAAACUGCUAAAUUUAAGUGCACUAACUCUGGAUAUCAUCAUUAUUUUUCUGUACAUUAAAGUACCUGUUUGAUAUGCGAUUUCUGCCUCAAACUAUCAACAUCUUUAACAUCCUUUUGCUAUAGUUAGCAUGGGUACUUCCUUUUAGAUUAACAGUUAGGUUUGAACUGUGAAUUAGAUUUCUGUGGCUGCUGGGAUUGAAGAAGUUAGUAUGCGAAUGACAUUGGACAAAUUUGGCAAAGUCUUCUCCAUCAGUGAAGAAAACCCCUUGGCGUAUGAAAAAUGUUCACCAUCUUAGACAUUUGUUUUCUUAUUGUAAGAAUAUUUUUAACAUUGUAACUUUUAACAUUAUUGUAAGAAUAUUUUGAAUUAUACUUCAGUUAUCAAUUUAUAUCAUAUAUCUUUUGUUGAAUUUGAAGUAUAAUUUAUAUUUGCUGUUUUUGGUUAGAUUUCAUGCUAUAGGAAGGGUUGUAUAUGGAUAGAAAUUGAAUGUUACAAAUCUGCCAAAGUUAGUGGCGUUUUUUCAUAAGAGCUGCUAAAGAAUGCUAUUUUUGGCGGUGUUUGUAAUAAAAGAGCCGCUAAAGGUCAUGUUCUUUAGCGAUGUUUGUGGGUAAAGCGCCGCUAAAGAUCAUGUUCUGUAGCUGUGUUUGUGGAUAAAGCGCCGCUAAAGAACAUGACCUUUAGCAGCGUAUUUUCACAUAAACGCCGCAAAAUUUAGCGGCUUUGUCUAUAGCGACUUUUUUUGCAGCGCUUUAAGUUUUAGCGGCGCUUUUAGGCCUAAAAAAGGGCCGCUAAAAGCCUGUUUUGCUGUAGUGAGCAUAUUUACAUUUUCGUCCCAAUUUCAACUAACACCCCAUCUAUUUCCCACUUCCCUUUUUCGGGCAAUUUCAACUAACACCUUCAUAUCAAACAUAACUAUUUUUCAAUUUUUCUUCUUUAUUUCAUUAAUAAAAUUAUCAAUCUAUUUGUUUUUAAAUAUAUAAUUUCAUUAAUAUUUUUUAAAUUAUAAUAUAAGAGUUGUUGUUUAUUUAUAGUUUUAUUACAUUAUUUACUCUCUCUUUUCUAUCAAGUUUUUUAAAUUAUAAUAUAAGAUUUAUUUUAUCAAUUUGUGGCUUAUCCAGUAUUCAUCUAUUUUAAUAAUAACUUGAGUUCCAGUCAUUAUCAUACCAGAAAGAGUUCCAUUUAUUCUUUAUCGUAAAUUUUAUAAAAAAAUAUACAUUUUAUUAUAAUACUAUAUGUGUUACGAAUAAUAUUUUAUUGUGGAUGCCCAUAAUUUUCAAAGUUGUAACCUCUAAUGUAGUAACCUUAAUGAAAUUAUGAGGCUUUUAUAUUGUAAUCAAGCCUCUAUUUAUUCUUUGUAACUUAAACAGAAGCAUAUUUUCUAUUAUAUUGAUAUUUUUUAUAGAUAUAUAUAUAUAUAUAAGGAAUCAAAUAAAAAGUUAUUUACCUUUCUAUUAUAUUGAUAUUUUCUAUUUGAUUUGUUCUUUUCUUUCACUAUUCCAUAAUAUAUUAUCAGUACGAUUUUAACCAAGAGUAACAUGUUAUUAGAUUGUGUCAAAAUUUUGUUGAGAAUCAUUAGAUUGUUUCCUUUUUCUUCUAUUUAGCCCCAAAUUGCACCCCUACACAAAAUUCAACAAAAACAUGGAAAAAUUAGUGGUGCACUCUCAUAAAUUAACCAAUUUAAUUACAUAAAAUAUGUAACUUUAGCAUUUUAUCAAUCAUGUUCUUUAGCGGCAUUUGUGGGUAAAGCGCCGCUAAAGGUCAUAUUCUUUAGCAGCGUUUGUGAUAAAAGUGCCACUAAAUAUCAUGUUCUUUAGCGGCGUUUGUGGAUAAAGCGCCGCUAAAGAACAUGACGUUUAGCAGCAUUUUUUUACAUAAACGUUGUAAAAUUUAGCGGCGUUGUCUAUAGCGACGUUUUUUGCGGUGCUUUCAAAUAGUUUUAGCGGCGCUUGUAGGCCUAAAAAAAUGCCGCUAAAAGUCUGUUUUGCUGUAUGAGCAUAUUUACAUUUUCGUCCCAAUUUCAACUAACACCCCAUCUAUUUCCCACUUCCCUUUUUCAGCCAAUUUCAACUAACACCUUCAUUUCAAACGUAAUUGUUUUUCGAUUUUUCCUCUUUAUUUCAUUAAUAAAAUUAUCAAUCUAUUUGUAUUUUAAAUAUAUAAUUUUAUUAAUAUUUUUUAAUUAUAAUAUAAGAGUUUUUGUUUAUUUAUAGUUUUAUUAUAUUAUUUACUCUCUUUUUUCUAUCAAGCUUUUUAAAUUAUAAUAUAAGAUUUAUUUUAUCAAAUGGUGGCUUAUCGAGUAUUCAUCUAUUUUAAUAAUAACUUGAGUUCCAAUCAUUAUCAUACCAGAAAGAGUUCCAUUUAUUCUUUAUCGUAAAUUUUAUAAAAAAAUAUAUAUUUUAUUAUAAUACUAUAUGUGUUAGGAAUAAUAUUUUAUUGUGGAUGCCCAUAAUUUUCAAAGUUGUAACCUCUAAUGUAGUAACCUCAAUGAAAUUAUGAGGCUUUUAUAUUGUAAUCAAGCCUCUAUUUAUUCUUUGUAACUUAAACAGAAGCAUAUUUUCUAUUAUAUUGAUAUUUUUUUAUAGAGAUAUAUACAUAAGGAAUCAAAUAAAAAGUUAUUUACCUUUCUAUUAUAUUGAUAUUUUCUAUUUGAUUUGUUCUUUUCUUUCACUAUUCCAUAAUAUAUUAUCAGUACGAUUUUAAUCAAGAGUAACAUUGUAUUAGAUUGUGUCAAAAUUUUGUUGGACUUCAAGUAUUGGAAUUUAAUUGUUUAAGUUAAGAAUCAUUAGAAUCAAUGGCUAUUUGAGAUAUGCUUGAGGAUGAUCUCAUUCUAUUCAUCACAAAGGUGGAGGUUAGAAAAUCUUUAUGUUUAAACAUUUAUAGCUUUAAAGUUAUUUUAACCUCUUAUUGUGACCUUAUAAUAUUUUGUAAUUUUUUGUAUUAUGGUAUAUAAAAAAAAUCUAACCAUAGUGAUUGAUUAGUAAUAUGAAUUUGUUAUUUGUUAUGUUUAAUAUAUAUUUUAUUUAUACUUAUUCAUUUUAUUUUUAUAUGAGUAAAUGAAGUGUUUGAAGAUUCGAAAUUUUUAUCAUCCAAGUUGAAAAUAAGUGCAAAAGUGUACAUUAUUUAAAAUAAAUUACGCAUUCAUUAAUGUUAUAUGAUAAAAUCAUUACAUGUUCUAAAGAACUAAUAUUGCAUCAAACUGUAAAAAGCUCUUGAAGAGUUAAUAUUUUACCUCCUUGUGAUACAAAAUCAUAUACAAUAUGAUAUUAUUUUUCAAAUCGAGUAGAUAUAUGUUGAGGGAAAUCUUUAUGUGGUUUACAUUAAAACCAUGGAUAGAAAUGACAUGAGAUACUCGUGUAUUUUUAUUAUAAAUAUUCCUUGAAGGAAGACACUUCACUUGUAUGAUUGACAUAUGAGAUAGUGGCAAGAAGUUCAUAGUGUUGGUAUGGUCGUCUAGAUCAUCUCAAAUCAAUAAUGAUGCAAAAUAAUUUGAAGAGAAUUUAUAUGAUUUUAUUGAAGAAUGAGAAGAUAUUUUCAUUUUGAUAAUUGUCAUCAAUACUAGUUCUUUGGAAAAAAAAUAUUGAACUAACAUAAAGUUAGAGGUUGGUUGCAUUUUUUGAUGAUAUCCAAAUAAUAUAUGAGCUCAUGUAUCACAUGUAUGCAACCCAAAGUUUACAGUAUUAUUUCUUGAAAUAAUUUGAUUCUACACAAUCUCUAUAGUAUGCAAUUUGUGCUAACAACGUUGGUGCAUUAUAUCCUAAGCUUGAUUUUCGUAGUUUUAGCUGAGAUAAUAUUAAGUUGUCUAUGCCUAUAUAUGUUAUACUUAAUGGUUAGCAAAAUUGUGCCUCCAUUUAAUUGCUUAACCAUUAAUAUAAGAAUAACUUUAAAAUAAGCAUGUAAUUUUAUUUGCAUAGAGUCAACAUGUAAGAAACAUUUGCCCCAUGAGAAUUGGCUUUCAUUUAUAAGCCAAUAGGUUUCAUAUGACUAUUUGGAUGUAAAAUAUCUAUUUUAUAUUCCACCAUAAUGCACUAAGAUGGUCCAUCAAGUAUGAAGUUGAGAAAAUUUAGAAUUUUUAUUUGAUGGUAAAAGUUGAAAAGAGAUAUAUACUUAUAAUUUUGAAAAAAAUAGUCAUGUUGCAAAUUUUUCUCAAUAUUAGGGGGAGACAAGUUGGACAAAUAAGGAUAAUUAUGUCAUCACUUUUUGUGAUCCCUCACUAAUAUUAUGUGCACAAAGUUUGAAGGAAAAAAGUAUUUGCUAGACAUGUUUAGUGAUGACACUUAGAGAUUGUAUAUACUAGAUGAUACAUAUACCAGCUAAAAUGUUCCAAAUAAUUAUGAGUCCUAGAAGGACAUAGUGAUAAAAAUAAUUUUUGGGCACGCUAGAAGGAUAAAAAACUAGUUCAUUCUAUAAAUCAAAAAAUUCUUGAAAGAAAAGAGUAAGAAAUGAAGCUGGCCACACAUUAAAGGAAACGAGUACUCAUGAAGAGACCUAAGGCAUAACUUUUAAUAAAACCCCAAAAGAGGUUCAAUACAUGGAAUUAUGAAUAUAAUAAGAUAUCUCGAUUAGUUAUAUCAUAACUAAAGAUGAUGGGGUUGAUAAAAGGAAAUUGUUGUUAACAACGAUAAUCUAAGUAGAACAUUUCAAUAUUAUGGUAAAAUGAGUAUUUUGAAUGAAAAUAUACUUGAAAGUAUUUAGAUGGGAACAACUCAUCAAAAUAAAUAGACGUUUCUAUUAUAACUUAUGAAAUGUGUCUCGGACAUGAAGUCCAAACAUUCGACAGGUGUAAAGCCAAGUGGAGUAUAUGUUAGCAUAAUAGUGAAAAAAUACAAAUCAUAAUAUAUAAAAUUGACUUGUAAGACAAACUUUCCCAAGACACUUGAUUUUGAUUAUGAAAAAUGAUUAAUUUGUGAUCUUAUCAAUUGAACAUACUUUGUAUAAUCAACAAAUUAUUAAUUAACCUCAUUUAACCAAUUUCCUUCAACACAUUUCAAAUCAAAUUAAUGUGUUGAGCACGCCCUUAACCCUUUUUCUUGAUUCAUUGCAUAGUCUAUUUCCAAGUACCAUAAUCAUCAACAUUUCAAUAUAUAAAGUCAUAACAUAAUGAAUCAUAGUUAGAAUUUUUUUUACCCUAUUAACCAAGUAUGGAACAAAAAUAAAAACCUAAUUUGUCAAGCUCAUUCAAUCAGCUUAUAUAUUAUAAGAAGAGCCUAAGUAUAAAUCCUAUACAUGAUUUCAAAUUCAACUAUUUAUAUUUGAGAUUCAAUUUAAAAUUCAUACUGAAAUUAUCAAAUUAACUCGUAAGCUACUCACGCUAAACAUUAAGGUACUCGAAUUCAAGUGGCUAGAUAUCAUAAACACUUUUAGCUUGUAAAACUAUUUCUAAGGGUCAGCCCAGAAUCAUGGUUGAACCCAAAAUCUGGUAACAAAAAUUUAAUUGAGCCAUCAGCCUAAAACAAAAAAGGCUUAAAAGGUUGGCACCCGAACAAUCAAAGAUAAACACCACCAUAUGCCACUCCCUGAAUCCGAUACAUACAAUAACACCCUUCACCACUUUUAUUCUUCUCCUUUUUUUUAACCUCAAUUUGGAUGGUCGCAUUUCUCUUUUUAGUGCUUUAUAGGGUUUGGGCUUUCAGAAUCCUCAGAGAUGCAAUUCAUGGAUCCCUCUAAGAAAUGCAAGCUUGAUGAAAAUGGUAUUAUUUCAACGGCAUCAGAACCUGACCCAAUCACCAAACUAACCCCACAAGAUGGCCGCAAGCUAAUCGAGCAAUUUAUCGUCGAUCAACUCCUUGACGUCCUCCAAGAUGCUGUUUGUUGUCACCUUGAUGUUCUUUCCGCCGUACACUCUAUUGCCGAUCAAGAUCCAUCUCAAAGGAAGCUUUUCAUCCGUGGUUGGGUUGGGAUACUACAACCCAACCCAACCCACAUUAGCAUACUACCAUGCGGUAACUUCUAGUGAUUUCUGUCUGUAACAUUAGACAGGUUAACAGUUAAAUCGUUCAACUGAAAGAUUUCUUUGAAGGAAGAGGUCAAUUGAUUUUUUUUGGAAUCAUUGUGUACUCAGUUGCAUUUAAGACGGGUAUCAUUCAUAAAGUAUAUAUCUACAUCAAGAAUGGUAGCCUCUUAUAUUAUAUUCAUGUAUUUAUUUUGCAUCUUUAAUUAUAAUAGGAUUUUUUUUGUUUAUUUAUAGUUUUAAUUAUAAUAUUUUUUAAAUAUGCCAAAGUAAAUUAUGUACCAAUUUUAAACUUCUCCUAGGUAAUUUAACGUAAGGGCAUUUAUGUUAUUUUACCACUUAUGAUAAAACUAACCUAAUUUUAGAUCUAAGUGUUUACCAACCUUCUUUUAGUCAAAUUAUGCAAGCCUAAAAUUUUUAGCUUAAUUUGAGUUUGUUUACUAUGUCUAAUUCAAGUUUUAUUAUUAAGAACUAAAUUGUAACUUAAACAAAUUAGAAUACCAAUUUAAAGAGACAAAAAUUCAAAGCCCCAAAACCCACACGGGCAUGUGGGUAAGUGACACAGGCGUGUGGAAACUGGAGCUAUCACACACGGGUGAGUGGGACUGAAAAAUAUGAAAUAAAUUAAUCCAUUUAAAUUUCCAACAACCAUGCUAUACUACCAAACCAAAUAAUGUUAGAAGCUUUGAAUAGGGGCGAAUCUUAAAAAAAAUAGAAGAAUUAGAAUUAAAUUAUAAAAUUUUGAGAAGUUGUCAUGUAUUAAUUUAUUAUUUUUUAAAGGGUCUUAAUAGAUUUUUUUUCCCCAUUUUGGUUUGGCCAAUACCCCUGUCUGCCUCUUUCAAUUUGCUUCAACCCUUAGCCCAAUAUUCGAUUUGUUGUGGAAGUUUGACGCAUAAAAAUUCCUUUUUUAGAGGUUUAAAUUAUAAAUUUUUAUUAACAAAAUAUAAAAGAAAAAAACAUGUGUAGACAAGCCAAGAAACCUUUGGGAUCAUACAGGUGAUUUUGAGAUGUUCAUGGUUAUUUUGGUGGAGAGGGUAAAAAAGAAACAAAUGAUUCAUUAUAUAUGAUAUAAUUAUGAAAUUCAAGCCAUAUAUUGUAUGUUUCAUCCAUACAAAUUUCUUGUAGCAUUAAAUGACUCGUAGGCUUGCUGAAUUUCUUUGAAAGGCCCAAAGGCAAUUUAACAUUCACAAAAUAAUCUCUAAAUAGUGUAAAGACAAAUCAAAUCCACAGUAGCAUUAGAGUUGAUUAAGCUAAGCAUUGGCAAAUAUUACUUUGAUUUUGCAUGCAAUAUUGGCAAAACCCCCUCUUACAUUAGAAAAACAACAUAAUCCAUGAAACAUUGAUAGCCCAAUACAAAUUUCAUCGAGAAAAAAGUCUCUUUGUUUUGUAGAACAUGAUAGUAAAGAUGUGGAGUUUCGUUCUUCUUAUUGGCCUCCUUUAGUUUUCCUUGAUCAACAACCACUAGCCAAAAACACAAUUAGAUUAGAUUAUGAAUGAUACUUUCAACUAUGACAAUAUUAAAUACAAACCACUCUAAAUAACUCUAAAUAAAUGGAAAGCAGCAAAUUACCAGACGAGGCAAGCUAGCUCAAUUAAGACCAUUGUGUUAUACUUGUCUCUGAAUUGAAAAAUUUAGAAGGAAAUAAAGAGAAAGACUUAGAAAAUACUUGAAAACAGAAAAAAAAAUUAUGUCAUUUAAAAUAAAAAAUUUCUAUUCAAGCCAUUUAAAAUUUGUAAGAUUUUUAAAAUUUUAAAAUGAUAAAGGUAAAAUUGUACUUUGGCACCCCAAAAAUGAUAAAACUUUGAUUUAAUUAUUUAAAAAUUAUAAAAAUAUAGGCUAUUAAAAUGGUGAAAUUAUAUUUUUACUAUAGUAAAAAUUACAAUUUAAUUUCACCCCUAAAAGGAUUUUCUGGCUUCGCACCUAAUAAAAUCUUUGGCAAAAGACUAAAAUAAAAUUAUACCAUGAAUGGAAAAAGAAACUAAUAAAAUCCAAUCUAACAAAGAAAAUAACUUGAUGUCCAAAAGCUACCAUAAACCGUAAUUCAUGGGAAGGCUUGUUGCUUAUUUUAUUGGUUUCCAUUUUGAAAGAAGUUUGAAUUUUGAAGAGAGCCUACUACGUGAAAGCAAAAGAAAAAAAAAUAGUUUAUAUGAUUAAAAUUCCAGAAUAGAUUAAAAAUGUUGAAUUAAAGAUAAAAUUAAGUGUGAAUUAAUAACCACAAGUGUACUCUUUACUCACCAUCUCUGUUAAAAAUGUUGGAUGUUGUUUAGCAACCUUUGUUUGAUUUUCUUCAGCUCAACCACAACAUCUUUCAUAUCUUUUCUUUCUUCUGGUAACUCAGCUGAACAAUUCAAAGCCAACUCCAUGAUAGAUGAAAUACAAUUUGCUUUAACAACAAUGUACUCAUCCUCUCUUCUUAAUAAAUCAACAUCUGCAAUUUCUAUCGCUCCUUUAGGCAAUGAUCUUUCCAUCCAAUGCCUUAUACUCUCUUCUUCAACAAAAACCUUAUCAGUUGGCUUUUUCUUUGUGAAAGUUUCUAUAAGGACGAUCCCAUAACUAUAGACGUCAGAUUUUAUAGAAACAAUUCCUGCUGAUCCAAAUUCUGCAUUUCAAGUAUAAUUAGAACAUCAUUCAUCCUCAAUUAUUUCUAAAACGCUUAUUCAAAUAUCUAUCCACAUACACGUGAAACAAGAAUAUAAAAUACAAAUUAGGAAAAUAAUCAUACAAAAAUAAAAAAAAGAAUUCACCUGGUGCCAUAUACCCAAUAGUUGCAAGAGUCAUGGUUUGCUUCAUUACUUCACCUUCUCCCAACAAUUUGGCAACGCCAAAAUCUCCAACAUGUGCAACCAUGUCUUCAUCUAGUAAAAUAUUGCUUGGUUUUAUGUCACAAUGAAUUAUAGGUGUUGGAUGUCCAUUGUGGAGGUGUUCUAUAGCUACCGCAACAUCUAUCAUUAUGUCGACCCUUUGUAUGAUACCAAGGAAACAAUUUUCAGAAUGUAACCAUUUCUCAAGGUUUCCAUUAGACAUGUAAUCAAGCACCAAGGCUUUGAAGUCAACACUUGAGCAGUAAGUAAUGACCUUCACAAUAUUACGAUGAACUAUAUUAAGCAUAGCAUCACAUUCAAUGUCAAAACUCCUAAAUGCUCCCUCUGUUUGCAAAUUGAAAACUUUUAUUGCAACUUCCAUUCCAUCUGAAAGCCUCCCUUUAUAUACAUAUCCAAAACUCCCUGAACCAAGCGUAUUGCUUUCCUCAAAUCCAUUAGUUGCUCGUGAAAGUUCAGCAUGUGAAAUUCUUCUCAGUGUCUUCAAAGACAACAAAUCAUCUUUAACUGGUAGAGCUGUACUCCUUUGGCAUCUUCUAUACAUAAUAGUUAAGACUAUUAGUACUAGGACAAUACCAAUUGUUGGUAAACCAUACCUAAAAGCAUGCAAUAUAAUCAUUUGGGAGUUUUUGUGGAUGUCAUUUUUGCAAGGUGGGACUAGCAAUCUAGGUGGACCACAAAGUGCACAAUUAUUCAUGAAUGAUGUGCUAGAAAAGUUUGAAAAACAUCCUUUGCUGGGAAUUUCCCCUUCAAGUCUAUUGAAAGACACAUUAAAAUACUUUAGAUAUAAAAGCUUUUCCAAAGAUUUGGGAAUGACUCCAGAGAGAUUGUUAUUGCAUAAAUCCAAGAAUUCCAAACUAAUCAACCCAUCAAAUGAUUCAGGGAUAUGACCAUGUAGUAUAUUAUUUGAUAAAUCUAAUGAAACCAAAGUUUGAAGACCCCCAAAUGUGGAUAAGAUAUCGCCCAUGAGAAGAUUCCUUGAUAAAUUUAGUCUCAGUAGACUCCUAAAGUUUCCAACAUCAAUAGCAUGCGAAUUGUGAAGAUGGUUUGAUGAUAAAUCUAUUUCUAAGAUAUCUUUAAGAUUCCAUAAAGUUGAGGGUAUUGCGGAACUCAAUUUGUUGGAAUCUAACCAAAGAUAUCUCAAAGCAGAAAUAUUACCUAAACAAGAGGGUAUGGAUCCAUGCAGCUUAUUCAACCCUAAAUACAUCUUGAAUAGUCUCUCCAAACCACAGAGGCUUUCUGGGAUAGGCCCUUCUAAUUUAUUAGAGGAAAGAAAUAGACCUUGGAGAUUUAUCAUUCCUCCUAUUGAUGCUGGAAUCAAUCCACUUAAUUUAUUAUAGCCAAGUUGUAAAACCAACAUGUUGCUUAAGUUACCUAUUUCCAUAGGAAUAAUGCCUUGAAGCUCACACUCUGUGGCACGAAAGUAUUGAAGGGAUUUUGAAAGGUUCCCGAAAUAAGUAGGAAGAACGCCACUCAAUGGAUUUCCUGAAACAAUUAUUCUUUUCAAAUGCUUGCAAUUCGUCAAAGAAGAAAGAAAGCUCCACUCAUGAUCAGUAGCAGAUCCUGUGAUCAAAUUAUUGUUUACGAUUCCGAACCAUUCAAGGUGUCUUAAGCUGCCAAGCAUUUUAGGGAUUGGGCCAGAGAAUAAGUUUUCUGACAAGGAUAGAAUCUUAAGCAUGGAAGCAUUGGAGAUAGAGUUGGGAAUGUUUCCGCUAAGUUUAUUUCCC
rnacentral:lncRNA from 1 species